UAGCCGCCACCGCCGCAGCUGCUGCUUCAAAUCCUUGAAAUCCAACACUUGCAGCUAUGCUUUAUCGCUAUAUAUGUAUGUAUGGCUUUUUGUUUCUAUAUUUAGUGUGUUGGUUAAUAAUGGAGGGUGGCCUUGCUGUGCAUGGUUGCCCCUAUAGUAUCUCCGAGGUGAUGUUUGCUCCGUUUUGUGUAAUAAGUUUCCAGUGCAAUAUAGUAUCUUCAUCUGUUUUUUUCUCUAACACAGUAUGUAAUUUCCCAGUGCAAUAUAAUAUCUGUAUUUUUUUUAACACAGUACAUACGCAAGCGUACACGCACCAUCUCUGGAAGUAGCCGGCAUUUACGAAGUCAGAGCAUCUGAGCCGGCAUUUACGAAGUCAGCAUCUCUGAAAGACUGAGCCGGCAUUUACGAAGUCAUCCGUCGGAACGUCUCUUCCCACUGAAUACGCAUCCCCGAAAAUCUUGAAACAAAUUCAAAAAUAAAUGCGAGCAUCAGGACUUGAACUAUGGGCUGAAUAUGCAUCGCCGAAAAUCCUGAACGUCUCUUUCCACUGAAUACGCAUCGCCGAAAAUCUUGAAAUAAAUUCAGAACGCAUCGCCGAAAAUCUUAAAAUAAAUUCAGAAAUAAAUGCGAGCGUCUUAAAAUAAAUUCAGAAAUAAAUGCGAGCAUAAGAACUCUCUUCCCACUGAAUACGCAUCGCCGAAAAUCUUGAAAUAAAUUCAGGACGCAUCGCCGAAAAUCUUGAAAUAAAUUCAGAAAUAAAUGCGAGCGUCUUGAAAUAAAUUCAGAAAUAAAUGCGAGCAUAAAAACUUGAACUAUGGGCUGAAUACGCAUCGCCGAAAAUUCUAAAUAAAUCUUGAACUAUGGGCUGAAUAUGCAUCGCCGAAAAUCCUGAACAUCUCUUCUCACUGAAUACGCAUCACCGAAAAUUUUAAAAUAAAUUCAGAAAUAAAUGCGAACAUAAGGACUUGAACUAUGGGCUGAAUACGCAUCGCCGAAAAUUCUGAAUAAAUUCAUAAAUAAAUGCGAGCAUCAGGACUCAGAAACUUUGGUGAGCUGGGACAGGUUGGUUCACAAUUUGCCUACUAUACUGCUAGUCCGUUCUUUCUGGGGUCCAUGCACGAUCCAUCAUAUAACGCAUCGCCAAAAUCCUGAAUAAAUCUAUAAAUAAAUGCGAGCAUCAGGACUUAGAAACUUCGAUGAGCUGGGACAGGUUGGUUCGCAAUUUGCCUACUGUACUGCUAGUCCGUUCUUUCUGGGGUCCAUGCACGAUCCAUAACACAAAUUCACCAACAAUUAGACAAUCAAAUUCACCAACAAUUACACAAUGCUAGUUCUUUCUUUCUGGGGUUCAUGCACGAUCCAUCAUAUAGCACAAAUUCAUCAACAAUUGGACAAUGCAACAAAGUAAACGUGCCCCAAGAAAAUACGAUAAUUCAUAGAUAGGUGAUACAGGAAUGAAUUGUUCGGUGCGGCUACACUCUUUUCACGUGUUGAGCUUCUUGUUCUUCGCCUAAAGUCACUUUUUGCCUUCCGGAUCCAAGAGAGUAGCAAUGAUCCUUGAAUCCUCCGAUGAAAUCUUUGCCUUGUUGAGACUUCAGCCCUGUUCGGAGUCCCUCCACUCCACCGCUCUGCUCCGUGAACAGGCGGAGCUACAGUUAAAAAGCACGGAGUUGCAGUCCCUUCACUCUGCAGCUCCUCGUAUUUUAGGAGCAGGUGGGUUACCGAACACUGCCUUCAUGCUUCUCUAAGUCUAUUUUAAUUUGUUGUCUACCCUCUUCUGGUGUCAAUUAAUCCCUGCCUUCACUUUCAAGAAGGGCUUGUGUGAUGUUUUUCUAACAUCAUGUAUACGGGAGUUGCUAUUCUUCAAGUCAUAAUGCAUUGGUUCUUGACUGUCCUUGAUUACGUAUAUUUAUGUCCGCCAUGAUAUCUUCCUAAAAAUGACCCUGAUCACAGAUAAACUAACAUCAUAUAUAACAAAAUUGAUUCAAUGACAUAUGCAACACUAAUACGUAAACUCAAAGUGGGGCAAAAAAUGAACCUUGUCCCAUGUCAUCGACAAAGGACCUAGACAGAUGCAAAAAAUAGAGAAUGGACAUGAAAGAAGGGCAGUCAAUUUGAGAGCCGAAGGACGGACAUGGAAGGAGGCAGACGUGAAAAAUGGAGGACGGACAUUGAAGGAGGCAGUUACGAAAAAUGGAGGACAUACAUGAAAGGAGGGCAGUCGAUUUGAUAUACUAGGUCAAUUUGAGGGAUUUUGGAUGGGUCCGGUCUCUUGAAUACGACGUGACGGACGCGUCCGUGCACAUCUAGGCCUACCCACACCUGUCUCAGAUAUGGGUUAGGCACGUCCGUCACAUCUAGGCCUACCCAUGCCUGUCUCAGGAAUCGGUUGGGUUCGAGGAGUGUCUGACAUUCCGGUUCUAGUUUCACGUUCUCCUUGUGUUUCUACAAAACUCUAGUUUCAUUUUGUGCUCCCUUUGACAUGAUAUGCGAGCCCACCUCACAUUAGAGGCUGGAUAAUUUUAAUUGCAGCAACAUAUCAUGUAUUUUUAGUUAUAAUAUCAAUCCAAAUUAGGGACUCCAUGGGCAUGGAGCCACCCACCCUUGGGCGUCGUGAACACCUUCACUUGCCCACGACCGGCGCUGCGUUGUUGUUAUUAGCCUUUCGGCUUGUAUCGUAUUGUCUUCUUUUUUAGUUCUUUGAACCUCGGUUUUGUUGUCGGCUUCUGUACUGUUUAACUGCCUCAGUUAAAGCCAGGCAAGUGCCUCCGCUCUAAAAAGAUAAUAUUAAUCAAAAUAAUCAUAUUCCAUACAACCAAAUAUCGCUUAAUGUGUUGCAACCAAUUUCCGCAAAAACUCCUGAGGUAUCAUGAAGUUUCUUCUGACCGAGUGUACUAAUUGUUUGCAUCUCGUGGUACGAAUUACGCCUGAUAUGAACUACUCCACGAGUCCUUGUCCUAUAGAGGAGAUACUAAUAGGUAGAUGAUAGUUACAAGUGAAGAUGUUCAAAUAUGGUUUUGGGGAAUCAGAUCUUUUCUUCAUAUUUGAUUUCACAUACAUGAUUUCUUUUCAUAGGGAGUUGUUGUGUGCAUAUAUGUUGUGAGCUGUAUGUAGAAACUAAUUAACAUUCAUUAACACAGGCGUUUCUCUCUUCCAAGUAGUCCAGUCCAGAAGCAUGAUCAGGGAGGCCAUCGUAACAGUGUGGGCCGACAUGUUUGCCCACCAAGAUCGAAUAUUUCUUCCGUUGGCCCAUACAGACAAAUGUAAAGUCCUUAACCCUAGCCAAUCAUUGAUCAUUCUUCAGAUCCUUGAAGUGAAGCGGCCGCCAGAAAAUGGAAACCAUAUACGCCGCUCUCUGCGGCAAGUUGCCGCUGCUUCGCACAAAGAGCAAGCGAGCAAACCAUAGGUGGGUGCAAGGGAGAUCCCUUUGGGAACCUUUUGGAAGGUUCCUGAAUAGAAUUUUGGGUUUUCUAUUUCCGUUUUCUCUUUAUUGGUAUUUUUCCAGAAGUUUUAAAAUAGUUCAGAAAUUUCAAAUUUUGUUUGAAGUUUUAAAAAAUAUUCAAAAAUAGAAAAAUGUUGAAAUUGAAAAUAAAAUUGUGUUUCAGAAAAAUGUUCUCCUUUUCCAAACAAUGUGUGGAAUUUCAGAAAAUUGUUCAUAGUUCAGAAAAUCAAGUUUUAUAAAAAAUAUUCAUACAAAAAAGGAACAAAAAUUGUAAAUGUGUUAUUUAAAAAAGUGUCGAACGUUUCUUUUAAUAUGAGGUUAAGAAAAACAGGAAAAAAACAAAAAUUAAAAAUACCAAAGAUAGUAAAGAGAAAAGCAGCACACUCUGUUCAUCGUUGAUGGCUGGCCCAGUUGGUCGCAGCCUAUGCAAAAGGUCGAAUGUUUGAUGUGGUCAUCAUCAAAUAUGCGAAAUCACUACUUAAGUUGUACCCCUUCUCCGGUUUGAAAAAUGGCACACUGCAUGUGCAUCACUUGUCACAACCUGGGAGUUUACCUUUUUCCGUAGACUCAUUUUUCCAAAACAUUUUAUGUCUGGAACUAUGCAUCCAAAUACUGAACCGUUUUCGCUGUUGGUUUUUUCACGUUAAGAUCUUCAAAAUUAGAUCCAUGUUAAUAGGUUUCGACGAACAUUUUUUCAUGAAAAAACCAUAAAACAAAAAAUGGGAAAGGAACAAAAACCAAAAACAAUGAAUACCCUUUAAAUAACGAUUCACGCAAAAAAAAGAAUACCAAAAAAUGAAAGUAAUAAACUAGGGCACAAAAGCAUGGUUGCGGUUUUUUUUUCUUUUUUCUUUGGUAGCGCAGGCUGUGUUUUCCCUUUUUUCUUUGGAGGCACAGGUUGUGAUUUCCCCUUUUUCGAGAAGCAUAGUUGUGCUUCUAGUGAAAGCAAAUCUGUGCUUUUACGUGAAGUAAAUUAUGCUUCUCGUGAAAGCACAUAUAUUUUUCCCCAAGAAGCACAGGAAAUCUGUGCUUACACGAGAAGCAAAUAUGUGUUUCCUGUGAAAGCAUAGUUUUUUUUUAAGAAGCACAACUGUGCAUAUAGCAAAAGCAAAUUUGUGCUUCUCGCGGAAGCAUAUCUAUGUUACCACACGAAACAAAUAUGUGCUUCUUGUGGAUGCAUAUUUUUUUCCAUGCAAAAAAAAUCCAUGCCAAGAAAAACUAGGCGAAGACCGAAAAUUUGAAAAAACAGAAUAAACUGUUUGAAACCAAAAAACGCGUACAGUGAAAUAAAAAAAGAAAUCCAAAGAUAGCGCCAGGGCACAUAAAGUGACCGUUGGAGGUCCCACAUAAAGAUAACCCUUGCUUAGUUAUUCCCAUACAAUAUCACUUCGCCAGAAAAGAGACGCACGCGUCUCAUUUGCUGUCUUGCAUAGGGAAUAGAGCCCGCAAUUAACUAGGAGAUCAUGGACAUGGCCUGAAAGUCCUGCCCUUUAAUAGCUGGCUUAAACCCCCAAUCCAAAGUUUCAUGACGGAACUGCACGCUUAAAAUAAAUUAUUGGCCACUGCUACGGAUCAACUGACUGAUUUUUUUAGCCAGCCGUUCGAUCCAUCCCCUUAUAGCCAUUGGAUGGGUCAACGCGUCGCCGCAUUGGGAAGCAAUGCCGCAUGCUCGCAGCAUGUAGCGACCAGACCUCAAAUGGUCUGUGCUGCUGUGCAUCAGUGUCAUCCCUGGAUCAGUAAUGCUGACACACAGUACAAAUGGAGGAUUUAUAUCACAUUAGCAAUCACACACUUAUUACAUCGAAUAUCUCCAAAGAGAUAAGUAUGAAAACAUGGCUUAAGGCCAUCUAAUAACGAUAACAGCGGAAGACUUGGAAGAUAAGUGAGUCCAUCAACUCCAGCGGCAUCACUGAGUAUAAGACCACGACCUAAGGCACCUUACUCGUCGUCUGAAAAGUCUGCAACAUGAAACGUUGCAGCCCGAAAACGGGUCAGCACAUAGAAUAUGCUGGCAAAGUAACACAUAGAGAGCAAUGAACAAUAAUAAUGCUAUACUAUAUGCAUAUAUGGCUGGUGGAAAGCUCUAUGGUUACAGUUUUUGCGAAAAGCCAAUUUUAUCCUACUGCAAAGGAAUAAAUUUUAUUUAACUAUCAUGGUGGUUGAAACAUUGAGAAGGUACCUCCAACUCAAUCCCAAUUAAGUAACAUCAUUAACCCAACAAAAUUAAUUAUAAGUAUCACGGUGAUGAGAAUUCAAAUGAUAAUCCAGGUACUAGAUACUCAAGUUGUCCAUAACCGGGGACACGGCUAAUCAUGAUCAGUUUGUACACUCUGCAGAGGUUUGUGCACUUUUCCCCACAAGACUCGAUCGCCUCCGCUUGAUUCUCGCACUGCAUGAUGUUUGAGAAACGGAUGACCGAGACACAGUCUUUCAGAAACAAUCACUCUUUACUCUGGAUGGACCGGUACACCUACUUUCCCCUACAUCUGCUAGUCCACCUCUUCAAGAGAUCCUGUAACCUACUCAGCUAUGCUAGAGCCCAUAAUAGCUUGUGGCUGCACACGGAAGUUUCUAGCAUGAAUAAUCUUAUGAUUCCUUUGAGCCUGGGUGGCGGACCUUAUACAUACAGACAACACUGGGUUCUCCAGGUGCCUCAAUCCACCCAGAUGUGAGUUUUAGUUGCCACCUUAAGUUGAACCAUUAUUAAGCAUCUCACAUCUGUCAUGAAUAUCUCUCAAACCCAAUCCACGUCUACGCAUAGCAUGGCAAUAUAAUAGCAACGUAGAAGUAACUCCCAAGGGUUUGAUAAAUAAAACAGGUAAUAGGUACUACCUCAACUACUUCCCAAUACCCACAGUUUAAUUAGAUCCUAAUCAUGCAAGUGUUUGAGGAAAACAGAUCUAAUGCAAUAAAACUGGGUAUGAACGGGGUAUGAUCAAAGUGUUACUUGCCUUGCUGAUGAUCCGCAAAACCUAGCGAGUCGAAGUAACAAGCGGCACACUCCGGGUACUCUAUCGCAAACAAACAAGCAUACAAUCAGUACUCAGCUAAUGCACAGGUAAAACUCGAAUGAAAGAUCCAACCAGAAAGUUCAACUUAAGAACUCCGGUUUGCAAAAAGAAUCAACUCGAAAGAAGCAACGAAAGUCAAACGGCGAAAGAAAGAAACUUCGUUUGCUAAACUGGAUCUAGGUCAAAUUUUACUAUAGCAAAAACUUGUUUGAGUAGGUUAAACGGAAAGAGAAUUUCGAGACGAAACGCUAGGCGCUUGAAUCACCUGAUUCCGAUAAAGGAGCGAGAAGUUAAACAGAUUCGAAGAUUCGAUCAGAAAUCGAAUCUGAGAAAAUAACGAGAAAAUCCGAUGAAAAAGAAAAAACGGACGAACGGUUAAAUAACGGACGUUCGUUAACAGAGAAAAACCGACGAACGCGUUCGUUAAAACGAACGGUUCGGUGAACGCUCGCGAAAUAAGAAAACCGAAAAAAAAACGAUCUAGGUUUUUUUUAACAAAAGGUUUUUUUUUACGGAAAACCGGUCAACGACGGGAAAAACGGCCGGCGGCAGUACCUCGUCGNNNNNNNNNNNNNNNNNNNNNNNNNNNNNNNNNNNNNNNNNNNNNNNNNNNNNNNNNNNNNNNNNNNNNNNNNNNNNNNNNNNNNNNNNNNNNNNNNNNNNNNNNNNNNNNNNNNNNNNNNNNNNNNNNNNNNNNNNNNNNNNNNNNNNNNNNNNNNNNNNNNNNNNNNNNNNNNNNNNNNNNNNNNNNNNNNNNNNNNNNNNNNNNNNNNNNNNNNNNNNNNNNNNNNNNNNNNNNNNNNNNNNNNNNNNNNNNNNNNNNNNNNNNNNNNNNNNNNNNNNNNNNNNNNNNNNNNNNNNNNNNNNNNNNNNNNNNNNNNNNNNNNNNNNNNNNNNNNNNNNNNNNNNNNNNNNNNNNNNNNNNNNNNNNNNNNNNNNNNNNNNNNNNNNNNNNNNNNNNNNNNNNNNNNNNNNNNNNNNNNNNNNNNNNNNNNNNNNNNNNNNNNNNNNNNNNNNNNNNNNNNNNNNNNNNNNNNNNNNNNNNNNNNNNNNNNNNNNNNNNNNGCGGGCGAGGAGAGAAGAGAGGGGGGGUAUAUAAGGAGGGGGGCGGCGGCGAUUUGGGGAAGGGGUCUGCCGGCGGUAGCGUGCGGCGGCCGGACUCGGGCGGCGCUGUCUCGUGCGGGAGGAGGAGAGGCCGCGGGCGGGCCGUCGGCUGGGCUUUUGGCCCAGUCGGCGCGGGCGCGUUUUUUUUUAAAUAAGUUCCGCGGAAAAUAUUGCGUAGAAAAAUAAAUAAAAAUCAGAAAAAUAUGAAAUAAAUUUUCCCCGUCUAGUUAGAAAAUCUAGAAUAGGGUGAACAUGUUUUAAAACCAAAAAUAAAUAUUUUGAAAACAUGCAAUAUUUUUAAUGCAAUAAAAAUUGCAAAUAAAAUCCAAAUAAAUUUCAAAUAAUGAUUUUAACAUUUUUCCUCCAGUAUUUCAAUUGUUUUGGGGAAGUCAUAUUUUCCCCUCUCGUUUAUAUAAAAUGAAAUAUUUUUCCGGAGAGAAAAAUAAUUAAAACCACAAUCCUCAUUGGAAAAAUUAGUUGAAAAGAAAUUCGGGAAAAUCCCCAACUCUCUCCGAGGGUCCUUGAGUUGCUUAGGAUUUAUCGAGGAUUUGUCAAAAUGCAAUAAAACAUGAUAUGCAAAUGAUGAUCUAUGUAUAACAUUCCAAAUUGAAAAUUUGGGAUGUUACAAACCUACCCCCCUUAAGAUGAAUCUCGCCCUCGAGAUUCGGGUUGGCUAGACAACAGAUGGGAGUGGUUUUUCCGUAGAUCUUCCUCUCGCUCCCAGGUGGCCUCAUCUUCUGUGUGGUGACUCCACUGGACUUUGCAAAACUUGAUAACCUUGCUGCGGGUAACUCGGCUGGCAUACUCGAGAAUCUUAACGGGUUUCUCCUCAUAAGUCAAAUCACUUUCCAACUGAAUCGCUUCCAGUGGCACAGUAUCUCUCAGUGGUAUCUCAGCCAUUUCUGCGUGGCACUUCUUCAACUGCGAAACAUGAAAUACAUCAUGUACUCCCGACAAUCCUUCGGGCAAUUCCAGCUUGUAGGCAACUUCUCCCAUACGUUCCAACACUCUGUAUGGUCCGAUAAAACGAGGCGCUAACUUUCCCUUAACUCCAAAGCGCUUUACUCCUCAAAGUGGUGAUACUCGAAGAUACACUCUGUCUCCGACUUCGUGAACUGUCUCCUUGCGUUUAGAAUCAGCAUAACUCUUCUGCCUGGACUGGGCUACCUUGAGCCUAUCGCGAAUCAACCUUACUUUCUGUUCAGACUCCUUAAUCAAAUCUGGUCCAAACAACUGACGGUCUCCAACUUCGUCCCACAACAACGGUGUUCUACACCUCCUUCCGUACAAAGCUUCGAAAGGGGCCAUCUUCAAACUGGUUUGAUAACUGUUGUUAUAUGAAAACUCCGCAUAUGGAAAAUUGUCGUCCCAACUAGAUCCAUAAUCUAGCGCACAUGCUCUCAACAUGUCCUCCAAAAUCUGGUUGACUCUCUCGGUCUGUCCAUCUGUCUGCGGGUGAAAUGCUGUACUAAAUUCCAGCCUGGUUCCCAAUGUUUCAUGUAGCUGCUUCCAAAACUUCGAGGUAAAUUGGGUUCCUCUGUCUGAUACAAUGGUCCUCAGAACUCCAUGCAAACAUACUAUCCUGGUCAUGUAUAUCUUUGCCAACUUAGCACUGGUGUAAGUGGUCUUUACUGGAAUGAAAUGAGCCACUUUCGUCAAACGGUCGACUACAACCCAUAUCGAGUCAUAGCCUGAACGAGUCCUGGGUAAUCCUGUGAUAAAAUCCAUGCCUAUUUUAUCCCACUUCCAUUCGGGUAUCGGCAAUGGUUGCAGCAAUCCUGCUGGCUUCUGAUGCUCUGCCUUCACUCUCUGGCAUACAUCACAAACUGCUACAAACUCCGCAAUAUCCUUCUUCAUUCCGGUCCACCAGAAAGUAUUCUUCAAAUCCAAAUACAUCUUGGUAUUCCCUGGGUGAAUCGAGUAUGGUGAAUCAUGGGCUUCUUGCAAAAUCAACUUCCUGAUCUCCGGAUCAUUUGGCACAUAUACACGGUCCUCAAACCAUAAGGUAUCGUGCUCAUCCUCACGAAAUCCCUUGGCUUUUCCUUUGCUCAUCUUCUCCUUUAUCUCUUCAAUCUCCUUGUCUGUCUUCUGAGCUUCUCUGAUCCUUUCCAUCAAGGUAGACUGAAUCUCCAAUGCCGCUAAAUAGCCUCUAGGGACUAUCUCCAAACAUAGCUCACGUAGGUCCUCGGCUAACUCCUGAGGUAACUCUCCUAUCAUGAGGGUGUUGACAUGACUCUUGCGGCUCAACGCGUCUGCUACUACGUUAGCCUUUCCAGGGUGAUAAUGUAAUCUCAUAUCAUAGUCUUUGAUGAGCUCCAACCAUCUCCUCUGUCUGAGGUUUAACUCCUUCUGCGUGAAAAUGUACUUCAAACUCUUGUGAUCCGUGUACACCUCACAAUGGUUUCCGAUGAGAAAAUGUCUCCAUGUCUUCAAUGCAUGCACCACUGCUGCUAAUUCCAAAUCGUGCGUAGCAUAAUUCUUCUCAUGGGGUUUAAGUUGUCGUGAAGCAUACGAAACAACUCUUCCUUCCUGCAUAAGCACUGCUCCAAGUCCUCGACGAGAAGCGUCGCAAUAAACUUCAUAGUCCUUGCAUUGAUCUAGCAGAAUCAACACUGGUGAUGUAACCAAUCGUUUCUUCAACUCUUGGAAACUAGCUUCACAUUCCUCAGUCCAAUCGAAUUUGGUGUCCUUCUUCAAUAGCUCAGUCAUGGGCUUAGCAAUCCUUGAGAAAUUUUCGAUAAAUCUCCGGUAGUAUCCUGCAAGUCCAAGAAAACUCCAGAUUUCUCCAACUGUCGUGGGUGAUUCCCAACUUGUCACUGUGUCAACCUUGGCAGGGUCUACUGCUAUUCCUUCUCCAGAAAUAACAUGUCCAAGGAAUCCAACUUCCUUCAACCAAAACUCACAUUUGCUGAACUUGGCAUAUAACUGAUGUUCUCUGAGCUUCUCAAGUACCAAUCGCAAAUGCUCCUCAUGCUCUUCUUCAUCCUUGGAAAAGAUUAGAAUAUCAUCAAUGAAUACCACGACGAACUUAUCCAAAAACUCCAUAAACACUUUGUUCAUCAGGUUCAUGAAAUAGGCUGGUGCGUUAGUCAGUCCAAAUGACAUAACGGUGUACUCAUACAAUCCAUAUCUGGUGGUAAAUGCCGUCUUAGGUAUAUCCUGCUCUCGAAUCUUUAACUGAUGGUAUCCUGAUCGUAGAUCGAUCUUGGAAAAUACUUUAGCUCCUUGCAAGCGGUCAAACAAAUCAUUGAUCAUCGGCAGUGGGUACUUGUUUUUGAUGGUCAUUUCAUUCAAUCCUCGGUAAUCAACAACCAUCCUUAGUGAUCCAUCUUUCUUCUCUACUAGAAGUACUGGUGAUCCCCAAGGUGACGAACUUGGGCGAAUAUAGCCUUUAUCCAGUAACUCCUUGAUCUGCUUCUUAAUUUCUUCCAAAUACUUUGCGGGCAUCCUGUACGGUCUCUUAGAUAUUGGCCCUGUGCCUGGCAAAAGUUCAAUCAAGAACUCAAUGUCUCUAUCUGGUGGCAUGCCUGGUAACUCUUCUGGAAAUACAUCCGAAUAAUCCUUCACCACUGGUACUUCCUCCUGUACAACUCCUGAUAAGGAAUUCACUUGAGUCCUUUUCGGCAUAUGCCUGGAUACAUUCUUGAUCCUUUUUCCUUCCGGGGUGGUAAGCAAAAUAGUCUUGCUGGCACAAUCGAUGUUUCCUCCAUACAACGAUAGCCAAUCCAUUCCCAAAAUCACAUCCAAACCUUGUGAUUCCAAAACAAUGAGGUCUGAGGAGAAAACAUGCCUACCAAUGGCCAAUGGUAUCUGAAAACAUCCUUGGGUGGCCAUAUACUCUGCUCCCGGCGAGGUUACUAACAUGGGGCUUUUGAGGACUUGGGUGGACAUCUUAAACUUGUUUACGAAUCCCCUUGAUAUGUAUGAAUGCGAUGCACCAGUAUCGAAAAGAACAGUUGCAGUAAAUGACUUAACCAAAAACUUACCUAUUACUGCAUCAGGCUGAGCUUCAAUCUCCUCCACGCUCACGUGGUUCACAUGUCCUUUGUUGAACGAGUUCGGCUUCUUCCCAGAGCUUCCAUUGCCAUUUCCAUUUUGGGCUUCGGGACAAUCAGUUGCAUAGUGUCCAGUCUUCUGGCACUUGUAACAAGUAAUGUGACUUAGAUCCCUCUUGGUUGGGGUAGAUGGGUUGGUGCGGUUCUGUCCGUUUCCUCCUCCAUUCCCAUUACCAUUCUUGGAGCCAUUAUGGUUGUGCGAGCUACCUCCUCCAUGGGUAUGCUGAAACUGUCCUCCCGGCUUCGGGGUAAAUCGUGGCUUCUGCUGGGCUCCAGAAUUGUACUUCCCUUGUCCAUACUUCCUCUUGCGGUUUUCAAUCUGCUGUUGCUUCCCUUCAAUCAUGAGAGCUCUAUCUACCAGCUCCUGGUAGUUGUUGAAAGUUGCUACCAUCAACUGCAUACUCAGCUCAUCAUUCAGUCCUUCUAAGAAUUUCUCCUGCUUGGCAGCAUCUGUAGCAACGUCAUCUGGUGCAUAACGUGCUAACUUACUGAAAUCCUCCACAUACUGGCCUACGGUGCGUCCUCCUUGGCGUAGGUUGCGAAACUCACGCUUCUUCAUAGCCAUAGCUCCUGCUGAAUCAUGAGCUGUACGGAAAGCUUGCUGAAACUGGUCCCAUGUGACAGUGUCAAUAGGGUGCGUGGCUGUAUAAUUCUCCCACCAUGAUGCUGCGGGUCCAUCAAGCUGAUGUGCGGCAAAACGCACUCUUUCCGCAUCUGUGCAUCCUGCAGUGGUCAACUCCCUUCCAACUUUGCGGAGCCAAUCAUCUGCUACAAUCGGCUCGGUGCUACUGGAAAACACCGGCGGGUUUAGCCUUAAGAAACGGGCUAAGUGAUCAACAGGUGAUGGUGGCGGUGGGUUGUUGUUGUUGUUGCCUUGGUUCUGAACUAACACUUGCAUUAGGGCAUUCUGUUGCUGAAUCAACUGGGUGAUCUCUGGCAGAAAAACAAAUCCGGUGUCGCGUCUCGGAGGCAUCUGAUAGGUUUAGAAAAGAUGAGAAUUAAGAAUAGAAUGAGGUCUAGAGAGAAAACACUACCCAUAUGCUCAUGAGACAAUUCAAUCAAUAUCACUCAAUUAAUCCAAACAAGGCAAAACAAACGAUCUAACUAACAUUACAAAGUGCUUGAGCUAUACUACUAGAUGGGGGAAAAACUACUACUGAUAUGGUGGUCUACUAAAAAUUCUGAUCCGUUGAAGACUCCAUGAUGUCUGCUCCAGCUUCAUCAAUCCAUUCGUCUCCACUUGGUUCCGAGUCGGUGUCGUCGAUGAUGAUGUAGUUAUCCGGACAAGUGCAUUCGUCGACUUCUGCUUUUGGCACUGGAUUUCCCACGAAUGCUCCAAUCUUAUUCUCCAGGUCGUCAAUCUUCCCGACUAGUGCGUUGAUUUCCUCCAAAUAAUCUUCGCGUGUAGCCUUGAGUUCUUCUUGGAGCUCCUUGAUCUUCGUGAUUGCCUUCUUCAGUUCUUCCUUGUCCGUGCACAUCUGGUUCUCCUGGCGUCGAAUAUGUUGGUUCUGCUCCUGGAUGAUAGUUGCAAUUGAUCCAUCCUUCUUGGUCUUGAUCAUCUCCCAUUGCGCGUCUCGACGUCCACAAAUUUGGUAAAUUGUAUCCUUAAGCUCCUGGUGAUAGACUUCUCCAAUGCGUCCCAUGGCAAUAUGUGCGGCCAUGCUCUUCCCUAAACUCCAAGUUGGUGCUUCGAAAACCAAUCUCAUGGGUUCCGUAAUUGGUGCAAACGUUCUUCCUGGAAUGAUAACUUGAAUCUUCCAGCUCUCUUCUUCAGGUAAUGUGGCGUUGUAGGUUCCGGUGAUGCUUGGUAUUCCUAUGUUCAAGUACUUGGUGACUUCCUUCAAAUGUCGACCAAACGGCGUGUCUUCAUCUGGUUGCAUGAACUUGCUCCUUGCAUUCGCCAUUCCUAAAAGAGUAGAAACUGGAGAGAGGUCAGAAAUGAGAAGAGAGAAGUUUUCUAGGGCUUAAGCUUAGUGGUCGUGUCCUACAGUCAGCGUGUGCUCUGAUACCAACUUUCUAGCGACCAGACCUCAAAUGGUCUGUGCUGCUAUGCACCAGUGUCAUCCCUGGAUCAGUAAUGCUGACACGCACAGUACAAAUGGAGGAUUUAUAUCACAGUAGCAAUCACACACUUAUUACAUCGAAUAUCUCCAAAGAGAUAAGUAUGAAAACAUGGCUUAAGGCCAUCUAAUAACGAUAACAGCGGAAGACUUGGAAGAUAAGUGAGUCCAUCAAAUCCAGCGGCAUCACUGAGUAUAAGACCACGACCUAAGGCACCUUACUCGUCGUCUGAAAAGUAUGCAACAUGAAACGUUGCAGCCCGAAAACGGGUCAGCACAUAGAAUAUGCUGGCAAAGUAACACAUAGAGAGCAAUGAACAAUAAUAAUGCUAUACUAUAUGCAUAUAUGGCUGGUGGAAAGCUCUAUGGUUACAGUUUUUGCGAAAAGCCAAUUUUAUCCUACUGCAAAGGAAUAAAUUUUAUUUAACUAUCAUGGUGGUUGAAACAUUGAGAAGGUACCUCCAACUCAAUCCCAAUUAAGUAACAUCAUUAACCCAACAAAAUUAAUUAUAAGUAUCACGGUGAUGAGAAUUCAAAUGAUAAUCCAGGUACUAGAUACUCAAGUUGUCCAUAACCGGGGACACGGCUAAUCAUGAUCAGUUUGUACACUCUGCAGAGGUUUGUGCACUUUUCCCCACAAGACUCGAUCGCCUCCGCUUGAUUCUCGCACUGCAUGAUGUUUGAGAAACGGAUGACCGAGACACAGUCUUUCAGAAACAAUCACUCUUUACUCUGGAUGGACCGGUACACCUACUUUCCCCUACAUCUGCUAGUCCACCUCUUCAAGAGAUCCUGUAACCUACUCAGCUAUGCUAGAGCGCAUAAUAGCUUGUGGCUGCACACGGAAGUUUCUAGCAUGAAUAAUCUUAUGAUCCCUUUGAGCCUGGGUGACGGACCUUAUACAUACAGACAACACUGGGUUCUCGAGGUGCCUCAAUCCACCCAGAUGUGAGUUUUAGUUGCCACCUUAAGUUGAACCAUUAUUAAGCAUCUCACAUCUGUCAUGAAUAUCUCUCAAACCCAAUCCACGUCUACGCAUAGCAUGGCAAUAUAAUAGCAACGUAGAAGUAACUCCCAAGGGUUUGAUAAAUAAAACAGGUAAUAGGUACUACCUCAACUACUUCCCAAUACCCACAGUUUAAUUAGAUCCUAAUCAUGCAAGUGUUUGAGGAAAACAGAUCUAAUGCAAUAAAACUGGGUAUGAACGGGGUAUGAUCAAAGUGUUACUUGCCUUGCUGAUGAUCCGCAAAACCUAGCGAGUCGAAGUAACAAGCGGCACACUCCGGGUACUCUAUCGCAAAUAAACAAGCAUACAAUCAGUACUCAGCUAAUGCACAGGUAAAACUCGAAUGAAAGAUCCAACCAGAAAGUUCAACUUAAGAACUCUGGUUUGCAAAAAGAAUCAACUCGAAAGAAGCAACGAAAGUCAAACGGUGAAAGAAAGAAACUUCGUUUGCUAAACUGGAUCUAGGUCAAAUUUUACUGUAGCAAAAACUUGUUUGAGUAGGUUAAACGGAAAGAGAAUUUCGAGACGAAACGCUAGGCGCUUGAAUCACCUGAUUCCGAUAAACGAGCGAGAAGUUAAACAGAUUCGAAGAUUCGAUCAGAAAUCGAAUCUGAGAAAAUAACGAGAAAAUCCGACGAAAAAGAAAAAACGGACGAACGGUUAAAUAACGGACGUUCGUUAACAGAGAAAAACCGACAAACGCGUUCGUUAAAACGAACGGUUCGGUGAACGCUCGCGAAAUAAGAAAACCGAAAAAAAACUGAUCUAGGGUUAUUUUUUAAACAAAAGGUUUUUUUUACAGAAAACCGGUCAACGACGGGAAAAACGGCCGGCGGCAGUACCUCGUCGGGCGGGCUCCGGCGGGGCGGGGCUCGGCGGCGGGGUGCGGGGCUCGGGGAGGCGGCGNNNNNNNNNNNNNNNNNNNNNNNNNNNNNNNNNNNNNNNNNNNNNNNNNNNNNNNNNNNNNNNNNNNNNNNNNNNNNNNNNNNNNNNNNNNNNNNNNNNNNNNNNNNNNNNNNNNNNNNNNNNNNNNNNNNNNNNNNNNNNNNNNNNNNNNNNNNNNNNNNNNNNNNNNNNNNNNNNNNNNNNNNNNNNNNNNNNNNNNNNNNNNNNNNNNNNNNNNNNNNNNNNNNNNNNNNNNNNNNNNNNNNNNNNNNNNNNNNNNNNNNNNNNNNNNNNNNNNNNNNNNNNNNNNNNNNNNNNNNNNNNNNNNNNNNNNNNNNNNNNNNNNNNNNNNNNNNNNNNNNNNNNNNNNNNNNNNNNNNNNNNNNNNNNNNNNNNNNNNNNNNNNNNNNNNNNNNNNNNNNNNNNNNNNNNNNNNNNNNNNNNNNNNNNNNNNNNNNNNNNNNNNNNNNNNNNNNNNNNNNNNNNNNNNNNNNNNNNNNNNNNNNNNNNNNNNNNNNNNNNNNNNNNNNNNNNNNNNNNNNNNNNNNNNNNNNNNNNNNNNNNNNNNNNNNNNNNNNNNNNNNNNNNNNNNNNNNNNNNNNNNNNNNNNNNNNNNNUCUGCCGGCGGUAGCGUGCGGCGGCCGGACUCGGGCGGCGCGGUCCCGUGCGGGAGGAGGAGAGGCCGCGGGCGGGCCGUCGGCUGGGCCUUUGGCCCAGUCGGCGCGGGCGCGUUUUUUUUUAAUAAGUUCCGCGGAAAAUAUUGCGUAGAAAAAUAAAUAAAAAUCAGAAAAAUAUGAAAUAAAUUUUCCCCGUCUAGUUAGAAAAUCUAGAAUAGGGUGAACAUGUUUUAAAACCAAAAAUAAAUAUUUUGAAAACAUGCAAUAUUUUUAAUGCAAUAAAAAUUGCAAAUAAAAUCCAAAUAAAUUUCAAAUAAUGAUUUUAACAUUUUUCCUCCAGUAUUUCAAUUGUUUUGGGGAAGUCAUAUUUUCCCCUCUCGUUUAUAUAAAAUGAAAUAUUUUUCCGGAGAGAAAAAUAAUUAAAACCACAAUCCUCGUUGGAAAAAUUAGUUGAAAAGAAAUUUGGGAAAAUCCCCAACUCUCUCCGAGGGUCCUUGAGUUGCUUAGGAUUUAUCGAGGAUUUGUCAAAAUGCAAUAAAACAUGAUAUGCAAAUGAUGAUCUAUGUAUAACAUUCCAAAUUGAAAAUUUGGGAUGUUACACAGCAGGAGCCCUCCCUUUGCCGACAGCACAACAAAGCUCCACCGACGGCGCCGGCGAUGCUACACUGUAGUGCCUUGUUGGGGAACGUAGUAUUUCAAAAAAAAUCCUACGAUCACGCAAGAUCUAUUUAAGAGAUGCAUAGCAACGAUACGGGAGAGUGUGUCCAAGUACCCUCGUAGACCGAAAGCGGAAGCGUUUAGUAACGCGGUUGAUGUAGUCGAACGUCUUCACUAUCCAACCGAUCCAAGUACCGAACGUACGGCACCUCCAUGUUCAGCACACGUUCAGCACGAUGACGUCCCUUGAGCUCUUGAUCCAGUUGAGGACGAGGGAGAGUUCCGUCAGCAUGACGGCGUGGAGACGGUGAUGAUGAUGUUACCGGUGCAGGGCUUCACCUAAACACUACGACGAUAUGACCAAGGUGUUAAACAGUGGAGGGGAGCACCGCACACGGCUAAGAGAUUGUCUGUUGUGCUUUGGGGUGCCCCCUGCCCACGUAUAUAAAGGAGGGGGGAGGAGGAGGCUGGCCAAGGAGGGGCGCGCCUAUAGGAGGAGUCCAACUAGGAUUCCCAAUCCUAGCUGGACUCUCCUUCCUUUUCCAAGAGGGGGAAGGAGUAGGAGAGGGAGAAGGAAAGAAGGGGGUGCCGCCCCCUCCCUAGUCCAAUUCGGACUUGCCAUAGGGGGGCAGGGGGGCGGCCUCCCUUGCGGCCCUCCUCUCCUUUCCACUAAGGCCCAUGAAGGCCCACUACUUCCCCGGGGGGUUUCGGUAACCUCCCGGUACUCCGAAAAAUACCCGAAUCAUUCCGGAACAUUCCGGUGUCCGAAUAUAACCUUCCAAUAUAUUAAUCUUUACUUCUUGACCAUUUCGAGACUCCUCGUCAUGUUCGUGAUCUCAUCCGGGACUCCGAACAAUCUUCAGUCAUCAAUUCACUUAACUCAUAAUACAAAUCAUCAUCGAACGUUAAGUGUGCGGACCCUAUGGGUUCAAGAACUAUGUAGACAUGACCGAGACACAUGUUCGGUCAAUAACCAAUAGCGGAACCUGGAUGCUCAUAUUGGCUCCUACAUAUUCUACGAAGAUCUUUAUCUGUCAAAUCGCAUAACAACAUACGUCAUUUCCUUUGUCAUCGGUAUGUUACUUGCCCGAGAUUCGAUCGUCGGUAUCAUCAUACCUAGUUCAAUCUCGUUACCGGCAAGUCUCUUUACUCGUUCCAUAAUGCAUCAUCCCACAACUAACUCAUUAGUCACAUUGCUUGCAAGGCUUAUAGUGAUGUGCAUUACCGAGAGGGCCCAGAGAUACCUCUCCGAUACUCGAAGUGACAAAUCCUAAUCUCGAUCUAUGCCAACUCAACAAACACCAUCGGAGACACAUGUAGAGCAUCUUUAUAAUCACCCAAUUACGUUGUGACGUUUGAUAGCACACAAAGUGUUCCUCCGGUAUUCGGGAGUUGCAUAAUCUCAUAGUCAGAGGAAUAUGUAUAAGUUAUGAAGAAAGCUAUAGCAAUAAAACUAAACGAUCAUUAUGCUAAGCUAACGGAUGGGUCUUGUCCACAUCAUUCUCUAAUGAUGUGAUCACGUUCAUCAAAUGACAACACAUGUCUAUGGUUAGAAAACUUAACCAUCUUUGAUUAACGAGCUAGUCAAGUGGAGGCAUACUAGGGACACCCUGUUUGUCUAUGUAUUCAUACAUGUACUAACUUUCCGGUUAAUACAAUUCUAGCAUGAAUAAUAAACAUUUAUCAUGAUAUAAGGAAAUAUAAAUAAUGACUUUAUUAUUGCCUCUAGGGCAUAUUUCCUUCAGUCUCCAACUUGCACUAGAGUCAAUAAUCUAGAUUACAUAGUAAUGAUUCUAACACCCAUGGAGUCUUGGUGCUGAUCAUGUUUUGCUCGUGAGAGAGGCUUAGUCAAUGGAUCUGCAACAUUCAGAUUCGUAUGUAUUUUGAAAAUCUCUAUGUCUCCCUCCUUGACUUGAUCGUGAUGGAAUUAAAGCGUCUCUUGAUGUGUUUGGUUCUCUUGUGAAAUCUGGAUUCCUUCGCCAAGGCAAUUGCUUCAGUAUUGUCACAAAAGAUUUUUAUUAGACCCGAUGCACUAGGUAUUACACCUAGAUCGGAUAUGAACUCCUUCAUCCUGACUCCUCCAUUUGCUGCUUCCGAAGCAGCUAUGUACCCCGCUUCACACGUAGAUCCCGGCACAACGCUCUGUUUGGAACUGCACCAACUGAUAGCUCCACCAUUCAAUAUAAAUAUGUAUCCGGUUUGUGACUUAGAGUCAUCCGGAUCAGUGUCAAAGCUUGAUCAACGUAACCAUUUACGACGAGCUCUUUGUCACCUCCAUAAACGAGAAACAUAUCCUUAGUCCUUUUCAGGUAUUUCAGGAUGUUCUUGACCGCUGUCCAGUGAUCCACUCCUGGAUUACUUUGGUGCCUCCCUGCUAAACUAAUAGCAAGGCACACAUCAGGUCUGAUACACAGCAUUGCAUACAUGAUAGAACCUAUGGCUGAGGCAUAGAGAAUGACUUUCAUUUUCUCUCUAUCUUCUGCAGUGGUCGGGCAUUGAGUCUGACUCAACUUCACACCUUGUAACAUAGACAAGAACCCUUUCUUUGACUGAUCCAUUUUGAACUUCUUCAAAACUUUAUCAAGGUAUGUGCUUUGUGAAACUCCAAUUAAGCGUCUUGAUCUAUCUCUAUAGAUCUUGAUGCCCAAUAUAUAAGCGGCUUCACCGAGGUCUUUCAUUGAAUUUUUUAUAUUCAAGUAUCCUUUUAUGCUAUCCAGAAAUUCUGUAUUAUUUCCAAUCAAUAAUAUGUCAUCCACAUAUAAUAUUAAAAAUGCUACAGAGCUCCCACUCGCUUUCUUGUAAAUACAGGCUUCUCUAAAAGUCUGUAUAAAACCAUAUGCUUUGAUCACACUAUCAAAGCGUAUAUUCCAACUCCGAGAGGCUUGCACCAGUCCAUAAAUGGAUCGCUGGAGCUUGCAAACUUUAUUAGCACCUUUUGGAUCGACAAAACCUUCUGGUUGCAUCAUAUACAACUCUUCUUUAAGAUAUCAAUUAAGGAAUGCAGUUUUGACAUCCAUUUGCCAAAUUUCAUAAUCAUAAAAUGCGGCAAUUGCUAACAUGAUUCGGAUAGACUUAAGCAUCGCUACUGGUGAGAAGGUCUCAUCGUAGUCAACUCCUUGAACUUGUCGAGAACCUUUCACAACAAGUCGAGCUUUGUAGACAGUAACAUUACCAUCAGCGUCAGUCUUCUUCUUGAAGAUCCAUUUAAUCUCUAUGGCUUGCCGAUCAUCGGACAAGUCAACCAAAGUCCACACUUUGUUCUCAUACAUGGAUCCCAUCUUAGAUUUCACGGUCUCAAGCCAUUUCGCGGAAUCUGGGCUCAUCAUCGCUUCCUCAUAGUUCGUAGGUUCGUCAUGGUCAAGUAACAUGACCUCUAGAACAGGAUUACCAUACCACUCUGGUGCGGAUCAUACUUUGGUUGACCAACGAGGUUCAGUAGUAACUUGAUCUGAAGUUUCAUGAUCAUCAUCAUUAGCUACCUCACUAAUUGGUGUAGGAAUCACUGGAACUGAUUUCUGUGAUGAACUACCUUUCAAUUCGGGAGAAUGUACAAUUACCUCAUCAAGUUCUACUUUCCUCCCAUUCACUUCUUUCAAGAGAAACUCCUUCUCUAGAAAGGAUCCAUUCUUAGCAACGAAUAUCUUGCCUUCAAAUCUGUGAUAGAAGGUGUACCCAACAGUCUCCUUUGGAUAUCCUAUGAAGACACAUCUCUCCGAUUUAGGUUCGAGUUUAUCAGGUUGAAGCUUUUUCACAUAAGCAUCGUAGCCCCAAACUUUAAGAAACGACAACUUAGGUUUCUUGCCAAACCAUAGUUCAUAUGGUGUCGUCUCAACGGAUUUAGAUGGUGCCCUAUUUAACGUGAAUGCAGUCGUCUCUAAAGCAUAACCCCAAAACGAUAGCGGUAAAUCAGUAAAAGAAAUCAUAGAUUGCACCAUAUCUAACAAAAUAUGGUUACGACGUUCGGACACACCAUUACGCUGUGGUGUUUCGGGUGGCGUGAGUUGCGAAACUAUUCCACAUUGUUUCAAAUGAAGACCAAACUCAUAACUCAAAUAUUCACCUCCACGAUCAGAUCGUAGAAACUUUAUUUUCUUGUUACGAUGAUUUUCUACUUCACUCUGAAAUUCUUUAAACUUUUCAAAUGUUUCAGACUUAUGUUUCAUUAAGUAGAUAUACCCAUAUUUGCCCAAAUCAUCUGUGAGGUCAGAAAAUAACGAUACCCGCCGCGAGCCUCAACACUCAUCGAACCGCACACAUCCGUAUAUAUUAUUUUCAAUAAGUCAGUUGCUCGCUCCAUUGUUCCGGAGAACGGAGUCUUAGUCAUCUUGCCCAUGAGGCAUGGUUCGCAAGCAUCAAGUGAUUCCAAAAGCCCAUCAACAUGGAGUUUCUUCAUGCGCUUUACACCAAUAUGACCUAAACGGCAGUGCCACAAAUAAGUUGCACUAUCAUUAUUAACCUUGCAUUGUUUUGCUUCAAUAUUAUGAAUAUGUGUAUCAUUACAAUCAAGAUUUAACAAAAAUAGACCACUCAUCAAGGGUGCAUGACCAUAAAAUAUAUUACUCAUAUAAAUAGAACAACCAUUAUUCUCUGAUUUAAAUGAAUAACCGUCUCGCAUCAAACAAGAUCCAGAUAUAAUGUUCAUGCUCAACGAUGGCACCAAAUAACAAUUAUUUAUGUCUAAAACUAAUCCCGACGGUAGAUGUAGAGGUAGCGUGCCGACGGCGAUCACAUCGACUUUGGAACCAUUUCCUACGCGCAUCGUCACCUCGUCCUUAGCCAAUCUUCGUUUAUUCCGUAGCCCUUGUUUCGAGUUGCAAAUAUGAGCAACCGAACCAGUAUCAAAUAUUCAGGCGCUACUACGAGCAUUAGUAAGGUACACAUCAAUAACAUGUAUAUCAAAUAGACCUUUUACUUUGCCAUCCUUCUUAUCUGCCAAAUACUUGGGGCAGUUCCGCUUCCAGUGACCAGUCCCUUUGCAGUAGAAGCACUCAGUCUCAGGCUUAGGUCCAGACUUGGGCUUCUUCACUUGAGCAGCAACUUGCUUGCUGUUCUUCUUAAAGUUCUCCUUCCCUUUGCCCUCUUUCUUGAAACUAGUGGUCUUGUUAACCAUCAACACUUGAUACUCCUUCUUGAUUUCUACCCCCGCAGCCUUUAGCAUUGCGAAGAGCUCGAGAAUAGUCUUUUCCAUCCUUUGCAUAUUAUAGUUCAUCACGAAGCCUUUAUAGCUUGGUGGCAGUGAUUGAAAAACUCUGUAAUGACACUAUUAUCAGGAAGAUUAACUCCCAGCUGAGUCAAGUGGUUGUGGUACCCAGACAUUCUGAGUAUGUGUUCACUGACAGAACUAUUCUCCUUCAUUUUGCAGUUAUAGAACUUGUUGGAGACUUCAUAUCUCUCAACUCGGGCAUUUGCUUGAAAUAUUAACUUCAACUCCUGGAACAUCUCAUAUGCUCCAUGACGUUCAAAACGUCUUUGAAGUCCCGAUUCUAAGCCCUAAAGCAUGGCACACUAAACUAUCGAGUAGUCAUCAACACGCGACUGCAGGCAUUCACAAUGUCUGCAGUUGCUGGCGCGGGUGGUACACCUAGCGGUGCUUCCAGUACGUAAUUCUUCUGUGCAGCAAUGAGGAUAAUCCCCAAGUUACGGACCCAGUCCGUGUAGUUGCUACCAUCAUCUUUCAACUUAGCUUUCUCUAGGAACGCAUUAAAAUUUAAGGGGACAAUAGCACGGGCCAUUGAUCUACAACAACAUAGACAUGCAAAAACUAUCAGGUACUAAGUUCAUAAUAAAUUAAAGUAUAAUUAAUCACAUUACUUAAGAACUCCCACUUAGAUAGACAUCCCUCUUGUCAUCUAAAUGAUCACGUGAUCCAAAUCAACUAAACCAUGUCCGAUCAUCACGUGAGAUGGAGUAGUUUUCAAUGGUGAACAUCACUAUGUUGAUCAUAUCUACUAUAUGAUUCACGUUCGACCUUUCGGUCUCAGUGUUCCGAGGCCAUAUCUGCGUAUGCUAGGCUCGUCAAGUUUAACCCGAGUAUUCUGCACGUGCAAAACUGGCUUGCACCCGUUGUAUGUGAACUUAGAGCUUAUCACACCCGAUCAUCAUGUGGUGUCUCGGCACGACGAACUGUAGCAACGGUGCAUACUCAGGGAGAACACUUGUACCUUGAAAUUUAGUGAGGGAUCAUCUUAUAAUGCUACCCCACCGUACUAAGCAAAAUAAGAUGCAUAAAGAAUAAACAUCACAUGCAAUCAAAAUAUGUGAUAUGAUAUGGCCAUCAUCAUCUUGUGCCUUUGAUGAAGCUCCAUUGCAACCGCCGGGCAGCACCGCCGGCUGCAUCGCAACCCCGGACUCGCUGGUUAAGCUGCAUUGCAGCCUCUGGCCACCCUUACGUGUUGCGUUGCAGCAUCGGUGGGAUGUGGCCCUAACUCUGGCCUCCCUCUUCCUGCUGCGUUGCAGCAUCGACGCGGGCGGGGGCGGUCGUCGUUCCUCUCGGAUUGCAGCAGCGGUGCGCGGUGGUUGGAGUUCUCCCCCUCCCAGCGCGAUGAAGAAAGAGAUUCGAAAGGGGAAAAGAGAGGAAGGAGAAACGAGUGGAGAUGUCUUCAGCAGAAGAGAUAAGGCUGGGCGCAUGGAGGGGGAAGCGAGGGGAGGGGGGGGUGCACGGGGGCACAUGUUGAGCGGAGGACCUGGCUUACGACGUAGAGAAAUCAGUCAGUUGGAAAUAAUCGUUUUCCAAAUUAUUAGGUCUAAGGACCAACACUAAUGCCAGGAUUCCCGUGAAAAAAACACUAAUGCCAGGGAAUAUAUUAUCAGCAUGUAUUUAUCUGGUGAAAAAUGCUGGCCAUUCCAGGCCAUGUUCGAUCAAGGAAAUCGUUAUCUCACGUGAGGUAGAGGUUUGAACUGGAAAAGAUGAUUUAUCGACCUAAUCACCAGGGAAAAGGUGAUGCAAAGAGGCAGCCACACCACAGCCAGCAACCGGCAGUUCUGAUUUGGAGAUAGUACGAUCAAGUCCACACAAUCUAUCCGUCUGUUACAACAUCAUCGUCACCGCUCAGGCCACACCAUGGCAGCUCGGACUCCACUGCGACACAACAAAAAAGAGCAGUGAGACGGAGACCCAUCAGCCACGCGGGAGAUGAAGAGAGAUAUCUAAUGGCUUCUGCAUGUCACUAUCUUUGCAGCGAGGCUGCUUACAAGCAUCUUUACAUUAUUUUUUCAGCAUACAUCCAACACAAGGGGGGCCAUUCGUUGCCCAAGAGUUGUGAGUUGCAGCAAACGAAACAACAAAAUUACAAAAAGGGAAGAAAGAAAAAAACCAUGUACAUGUAAAAUGUCAAUAUCUCCUUUUUCUUUUUCUCUGUUUGAUGCGGAUUUCAAUGUCGAACCGGACAGCUCAACCGGAUUCAGUUUGUUUGGCAAAAACAGGGGGUCCGUAGUACUUUGAAAAAUAUUUGGCAACCCACGGCGCAAGCUGAGUGUUCUCAGGCUCCCUUCUGUUCUUGUUGUAAUAGUCAGACCAUAUAGCCGGGUAUAUUUCAGGGUUGAAUCCAUCACGAUAUACACAAAACGGCAACCAUCCCUGGCCUCCAUUUAUCCUUCGCUUUCUUUCUCGAGGGUAUGCCAGAGGCGCUUGGACAUACCUGUGUUGGAACACCUAUCUGAUUAGCAUAAGAAUUGUGCAUUUCGAUCGUAGGGAAUGGUUAGAUUGCUACCUGAUACCGUCAACCACAGAAUCCCAACAGAAAUGUGUAUGCCCGAAUACAUGACAGGCUGCUCCAUCUUUAGCGUUGUCGUGUAUAGCUCUCAGCCUUCUUUCCAAAUAAUCAGAGCCGAUGACCUUCGGAAGGUUUGGAUAGUAAAGCAUUCGCUUCUCUGGACAUAACUCUUGCCUGCAGAGUUGAGCAAAAGACAUUAGUUUUGGCCUUUGGGGCUAUGAGGCUCGCCUAAGAUAUCCUACAUUUUAGUGAUGAAAUUUGAAUAGCACUGAAUAUCCUAAUACACAGGCAAAGACAGUCAGCUAGAUGAUUAGGGACAGGUUUCAUACAAGGACUUACAUCAGCAACCUGCCGCAGUUACACAGCCGCAUGAAAAUAAAUAUCUUCCACUACGCAAUCUGUAUUCUCUGUAACACAGAAAAUGGCUACCUCGGGAAUGACUGGUCACAAAGAAAAUAAUUGCUGCAUUUUCGAAAGUGGUUCCUUAGUUGACGCUAACCUUAAUUUGACAAGAGGACUUUUCCUUGAGGUGUUCUUAUUAUAAAAAUAAACAUGAAAUGAAUAUAAAUGCCAAGUAUGAAUACAAAAGCCUAGAGGAUGAUCACCUAAGUGAGGUAUGAUAGCUGCAAAGUGAACAUGUUUACCGUGCAAUCACUAUUAAUCUCCAAAUAUACGAGCUUGAAUUAAGAAGAUGGGUUGCAAGUAAAUUAAUCAAACAUAGCAAGUUCCUAGUCACUGGAUUCACAAUUCCCUAGCAACUGUGAUUUGGUAAGAAUCAACAAGAUCACUAGGACAAAGAACCUUUGCCAGUGGCAUACCAUAGAUAGGAGGAGUGAGCACUAACCUUGGUACAAAGUGUGAAAAUGUAAGUAUCUGUUUGCUCUUUUUUUUUACUUCUUCAAUAGCAUCAUUGUUCUUGUCAUUCAACUUGUCAAAGUAAAGAGCAAGAGCCUCAUCAUCACUUCCCAAGUCCAAAGGCCAUUGGCAAGCAUGAAAGUCUUUACAAGCCUGAUCAUAAAAAACAUAUCAAUGCAUGGACGUCAUGAGGAAUUGAGAACUGUACAGAACAAAAAAAUAAGAAACUGAAACAGCCAGUACAUGUCUACACCUAUAAACAACAUUAUCUUUACGUUCUUUCCAAAAAAAAUUAUCUUUACGUGUACAUCCAUACAAAUCAGAACAAGACACUGAGCGAAAGAUCAACUUACCAUCUCUAACGAAGGAACACGCACACUGUUAACAUCCUUUUCCUUGUCAAAGCUCUGGAAUGCGAUUAAACAAAGAUGAGUAAGCAGGAGAAUCAUAGUGACAUGUUGCAUUUUGAUCUGGUAAGAAAAUUUAUGACAAUGAAUUAAGGAAAAAUAAGCAACCUUGUGAUACCAUGAAAACAAUGGUAUGAUCCCUAAGUCACCUAUCGUUCUAGGGCCUGUAUCCACACCCAGCUCACUACACGCAUCAAGCAAUGCAGUCAGUUUCUCCAUCGAAUCCACCUGGAAGAAAUGAGCAAACCAAUAUAAAUUAAAGGGUAAAUGCUUUGCUCAGAGAAAAACAUAAAUGAACUGAUGUAUUAGCAACCAUCCAAAACCAUAAUCGUCAUUGCAUCAUUUCAGUUGUACCACAUGCUUCAUAGCAUAUGUGCAAGAGCUACUAAUUUGUACCAAGCUAUUCAAACACUCCUGCAUAAUGACAAUCCAGAUGCAUGUCCGCUGAGAAAACAAGAGGAUGCAUUGAUCUCACAUUUGCCCCGGCUGUUCCUUCUCUUGGCAAGUCUGGUAUUGUUUUAAAGGGGUUCGAUCUUCCGAUGAUACUGCUGCUGGGCGCACAGGCAACAAGAUGAAGACCAGCAGGUCGCUGAUCAUCUUAAUGAUUUGGUUUCUCACGAAGCUCAGGAGCAGUUGUCUCUCGAAGUUAAUUCUUAGGAGCCAUCCGCAAUGAUGCAGAGCUCUGGAUCUAGGACAGGAUAGGGCAUAUCCUCACCGGACCAACAGUAGCGGCUUAGGCAGCAACACAGCAUAGGCUUUUUAGUCGGUUUUGGAUUCUUGGCUAGGCUAGAGUAGCUUUGUUACUUACAGUCUUGGUGUUCUAUUUUUGCUCUGUUUUCCAGUUUGGUCAUCCUCCACCGUUGUUGGUUUGUAUUUCACGCCUUCUUUCGUGUUCUUAUGACACAAUGAUGCACAUUUAGACGCGUGUUGGAGAAAAACAACUCCAAGUGGCAACGCCCAAUAACAUCAGUGUAUUACUCCUACUAGGCUCACAACUGAAAUGAUGCAGACGUAUGCAUUAUCAUAACCGUUUCAGCCAGGAAACAAGAACCGAUAAUCCAAUACCAUCAACGUAUGACUAGGUUCACAACUGAAAUGCAGCUCAACUACACAAGCCUGCUUAAAACCGGUAUCAAUAUCAAACCUCAUCAGCAAACUUCGCACUACAUCUAAAACUAGGAUCAUUAAGCAACGUAUUUACUAGACAAUGGCGGGCAGGAAGCAGGCGUGCGUUUCAGGUUUCAGGGAGGACAGACUAAAGUACUAGAAAUCCAGCGGAAGCACUAGGCCAACGCAUUUUGUCAAACACCAUGCUUGCGGCACAAGGAAUGCAGAUAGUCAAACAGAGGGAAAAGGGACGGGGACGGGAGGAGGGAAGGUGGAAUCCACUCACGUAGCGGCCACCCUCGCGGCGCAGCCAGAGGUCGUGGUUGCCGGGCACGUAGAAGACGGCGUCGAAGCGCGCCCUGAGGGCCUCCAUGGUGCGCGCGAAGUUGUCCCUGGUCUCCGCCACGUCCCCGGCGACGACGAGCGCGUCGAACCCCUCCCCGGCGCCCGGCGGCCCCGCCCGCACCGCGAGCCGGCGCACCCACUCCAUGUUCUCCGGGUAGUCGGUGUGCAGGUCCGACACGACGAACACCCUCGUCCUCGCCGCCGCCGCCGCCGGCUGCGGCGCGGCGGCGGCGGCGGCGCGGCAGCGGAGGGAGGAGGGGGAGGAGGAGGCCCUAGGGCGCGGCGGGCAGAAGCGGCGGCGCCUGCGGAGGCGGCGGUGGUGCGGCGACGGGGGCAGCGCGUCGAGCAGGUGGUGGGCGGGGUGGGACGACACGGGCAGAUGCGGUGUCAUGUCGGGGGGAGGAAAAAGCUCUCUCGCUCUGGCGCUCGCCUCGCUUGCGGCAAAAAAUCCCGUUUUCCCCCUGCCUUUUCGCUCCGGGGACGGGCGGGCGGGGGUGGGUGGCGGUGGGAUGGCAGUUCGGUGAUUCCGGCGACGAGAUACCCGGCUCCACGGUCUGUGGGCCCGUUAUAUACAGCGGCGGCGAGGCCGGGUUGGUGGGUGGUGGGCCGACGUGGCAGCGGCAUCCGGUAUAGUUUAUGCUGGUCAUUAGGCGCGUAGAGUAUAGUAAUGAUUAAUGCAGUGGGUUCAUCAUUGUCGCGGUUGGCCUGGUGCGACCACUAAACUCCGGGUUAGUGGCGGAGUUUCGCACGCAACAGUGUGCGAUGGAGGGCGCGGAUUGGUUUGUUUAGGCCUCGUGGAUUGCUGAUCCAUGUGUACCCACACGCUUGUACGCGGACCUCUUCUAGAACGAGGUCGGCCACGGCGGUCGGCCAAGCCCACCCUCGUGCGACAUGAGACACAAACCCAUGGGUUUCAAAUCUCUAACUGCUUGUUUGACACCAAUCAUUUGGGUCGAAAUUUGCAGUAUACAUUUGCGAAUUCCAAAUGAACGUGUUUGUCUGCCCACGAAUUUUACGUGGGAAAUCACUCCACAAAUCCAGCUGAUUGAAACGGUAUGUAAAACCAAAUCUUGUCCGACACUCACGCCCGACGCCCCUAUCUCUUCCCCGAUGCCCGCACCUCCUUCAACCACCACCACCCACGAGAUCCACCAACGCCAGAGGACCCAGGCCACUGGAGUCCAUCACAAUCAGCAAGGCAUCCCCGACGCCAAGCCAAGGCAUCCCCAUCUCCUGCACAUUCUUAAUCUCCAUUUGGGGCGGCCGAUUUAGGGGAGGCUGAUGGUGAGGGCUACCCCCGUGAAGGCGACGGUAUGGGAUGCACGAACAAGCACUUACCAAAUGGUGAGGCAAGGGGGGUAUCUAGCAUGUACGGUGAAACCUAUGGCCCCCGGGUCUAUCUUCCAUCAUAUUAUUUUCCUAUCAAUUUACUAUUUCUUCCGUUAUUUAUUUUGCAAUCUUUACUUUUCAAUCUAUAUCAUAAAAAUAUCAAAAAUAUUUAUCUUAUUAUCUCUAUCAGAUCUCACUUUUGCAAGUGGGCGUGAAGGGAUUGACAACCCCUUUAUCGCGUUGGUUGCAAGGUUCUUAUUUGUUUGUGUAGGUAUAAGGUGACUUGCCUGUAACCUCCUACUGGAUUGAUAUCUUGGUUCUCAAAAACGGAGGGAAAUACUUACGCUACUUUGCUGCAUCACCUUUCCCUCUUCAAGGGAAAAACCAACGCACGCUCAAGAGGUAGCAGUUCCCAGUGUCAAGCUGGCGCUCUUUCUUCGACGGGUUGAUUGAAGGGUUGAAGACGUAUGAGGACGACAGGGACACCUGCUUUGCCGCUGGGUCCCGGAAGCUCGCUCGCGACGUCCUCUUGAUGGUCUUGAGCAACCUCGCAUAUCGCCACCCCGACCUCGACCUCGUCGAUGGCUUCAAGAGGUAGCCGUCGGGAGUCGGUAUUUCUGCUUCCGAGGAGAAAGCCGCUCCUCUCGCCAACAAGGUCCUAUCCAUCCCGAGGGUUCCCGAAAAAUGCCAGCCUUGAGCUUAUUCGUGCUGUCGCGCAGCCCUAUAACAAAAAGAAUCAUGCAUCCUGUGUUUAGGUCCCGUACUAUUUCCGUUUUUGUAUUCGUCGAACUGUGUUUAAUUAUGCCAAUGCACGCUAUCCCUCUUUCGUUUACCCAUUGAUGUUCGUAUGGUUAGUUUCUUUUGCGUAUUUUGGUUGCCCGUCAGUAGCAUGCUGCCGCCACUACUGGAGGAUUCUGCUAACGCGACACUACGAUCAGAGACCCUUUGACGAAACUCUGUGCAAUGCAUUAAUUGCAAACAGUGAUGUAAAAAAACCGUCAAAAAAGAUGCAAAACGUUUGCGAUGAAUGAUACAUCAAACACGGUUCAGAUUUUAGUUGCGUGUGCGAUGUGGGGCAUACGAUUGAUCCAUAUGAACUGUUUGUGAUGAGACAGAACAAUAGAAACGGGCAGCUAGAUCAAGGUGUGUGCGAUAUACGGCAUACAGUUCGCUCCUAUGAACCGUUUGCGAUGAUCGAGGUGAACACAAACGAUUCGGCAUAACAAUAUGUGUGUGAUACCCGGCAAAUAUGUUGGUAAUCAAAAUUGUGUGCGAUCAUAUAGACAACCCAUGCAUACGGUCUUUUUGUGAACUGUGUGCUCGUCAGGGCACACAAUUCAACAAACCAACCUGUGGGCAAUAAUGUAGAAGAUCUCUGUCGAAUACGUAUUACUAACCGUCUACAAUGAGAUUGACAGGAUAAACAGAGAUAACAAAUUAAUAUGAGCGAACAGAAACAGAGAUAUAUGCAGUCUGCAUAAUUUAGUCCUUCUUCUUGUUGGUGUUGUUGUUGUUGGAUGGCCCCACGACAUCGUCUUGGCGAGGACGCUUCUUGCCGCUGACCGUUGGCUUUUCAUCGACGCCGCCGUCAUCAUCGUCGUCCUCCUCCUCGUUCAACCAUUCAUCCUCAUCAUCAUCGUCAUCCUCUUCGUCGUCCUCUGACGGCUCCUCAUCCAUCUGGUUGUCGUCUGACGACUCUGGAGGCAGCGUCCCUUCCAUGAUCCGGAUAUAAUCAAGGUCUGGGCUCGAUGCCGGACUCACGAAAGACGAGUGGGAUGAUUCCGAUGUUGACCUAUCAUCGAGCGCCAGACUGCUGGCCGAACUGUCGUCCUCGGUGUCGCUCGACAUGGCUGCGGUCGUAUAAAAACUGCAAGAAAGUGAGAUUGCAGAGUGUGUGCAAGUGUGUAGCGUGGCCUGCCGGGGACGAAGAAGAUGUCGGACACUUAAGCGGGGUAUGCAAAGAAGAGGAAAUGCCAAUUGAAGCGGGGGUUGACGUAUUAUCUAACCGCUUAUAUAAUCAACCGCAAUUAUUUGUACCCAGUCGCUCCAAAUUCCCGGGGUUGCGCAGGUGUGGCACCCCGGCUCAGAGCAACCGGUUUACCUUGCAUUGCCAGCCCAGAGAUCAUGUCUUCUGGCAACACACAACAUCUUGGUACAGAAAACAACCGCUUUAUUGAUACUAGCGGAACAUAGUUCGAUAUUACAUCAAGUUGCGAGGCCAAGCGGCACACAUGGUGCGGCUGAACAUUAUGUACAUUAUUUAGUGAACAUAAAGGGGCCUCGAUCACGACAACUACGCGGCAACGGAACGACGACGAAGCGGGACUCCAUAACACAGGGACACCGAUGUGGACACGAUCUAGACUCGGACAGCACUCCGAUCCAACGAAACUUUCUUGAAAUCUGGCAUGACACGCCAGGUCAGUACAUUGAAUGUACUUGCAAGCUCACAACAAGCAUAAACAUAAUGACAGACAAUAUCAUGAUAUUUAUUCAGAUUAUCAUUAAUGCAAAACCAUACUAGGAAUGCAGCGAACAUAAUCUCGUGCCUCAAGUCCCUCGGACUUUCUUACAAAACGGGUUUACCUUGUAACCAAACGGUGAUCUUUCUCAGAUCACAAACGAAACCAACACUUUGGUUUCCAUCAUCAACAAACGGAACCAACACUUUGGUUCCCAUCAUAAACCAUCAUCUUUCCAACAGUUCCAUGUGAUUAACAUUAGUGUGCAUGAUUAUUAAAAUGUUGAUCCAUGCUGUGACCUACUUCCGAAUUGUGUCCAUAACCGAGGACGCAGCUCUCGAUAGAUUAAAUACACUCUGCAGAGGUAGUGCACUUUACCCACACCACGGAAUCCUUGGACUCGCACCCCCAUUCGGGUGGACCAACGACAUUCCGACGAAACCCUCCCAUUGCCAUGACCCUCUCCCGGCCACUCCGACUUACUCCCCACUGGGCUAAGUCCCGGGUGGCCCCAUGCCUACCAAAGGCAUCAAUGGCCACCGUCGUGGCAAAACAUAAACGGUCCCAAACGGGGACAAGGUACCAUAACAACAAACGGGCACACAAGGUUAUGUCUGCUUACCGGGCCAGGGUAACGCACGCCCAUAACCUUCCCUCGUUGGAGGCACCGACUAGAGGCAUGACAACGGACCGAAUAAAGGCCUUCCCAUAAAGGCAAAUGUGGUUGCAUUGGGAAAAACUCGAUUCAGUGGCUCCAUGACCCGAUCAACGAUAUGUUCAAGUUGAGUUAUUAUCAGGUUUAACUCAAAGUAAAAAUAAUCGGUGUCAUGAUAUGCCAUGAAAAUGCAACCUUACAUCAUACAUCACAUAUUAUCGGAAAUAAAUGGAUCAACCUCAUCAAGUAUUUCACUAACCAUAAUCAUCAGCAAACUCAUACCACUUCUCUGGUUAUUAUAAUUCAACAAACUUAACCAUGAUAUUAACUUGAAAUAAUCCAUUUUCUCACUUAACAAAAUAUUAACCCAACUAGUCUUUUUCAUAAUAAUUUUAUUUUCACAUGACCAAACAUUACUUCUACUGACUUAAACUAACUUAGUUAGUCUCAAACUACUGUAAACUAAGCAUUCCAAACAAAACAAGCAUUCAAUAGAAAUAAAUAUUUAUUUAAGUGAUUUAAAUGCAUGAACUAAAUCAUUAUUCAAGUUGGAAAAUCAAAAUAUUGAGAUGGCACCAUGAAAAUGUUGUUGUGGCUUGCCUUAGUGCAAAUGAGGUUCACACUCCUCCUAGUGAUCCUCAAGACAAGCUUCACCUUCUGAAAAUAAUUAAAACAGAGAAAGAAAAUAUCAAGAAACACUCUGAAAAUCACCAGAAAAUCUAGACAGCAGAGAAAAAUCUCAUUUUUGUGAGCUGCUAGAUCUUUUCAUAAAGAACACAAUGCAAAAAAGAAUCACUUCAUUUGGACUUAAGGUUAAAAAGUUGUGGCUGUUUGAAGUUCUCUGGAUAAUUUGAAUUAAAUUUAAAUAAAACAGAAACCAGGGGGUGACGUUGAUGGCGUAUUCUCUGAAUACGCCUCCACUCGUACCGCUUCGGGCGCGAGCGGAGAGGCUGACAACGGGCCCAGCUGGUCAGGUGCGAGGGAGAGAGAGAGAGAGAAAUAGAGCGCGUCGAGGCUUCGCCGGAGCUCACGCCGGCGAGGAGGGCUCCUUAGCCCUGUCUAGAGGGAUAGAACGCAAGAGGAGGUUGAGGUGCACCUGCCCGUACCCGUAGAAUAGCUAGGGGUGGUCGGACGGGGUCGGAACGAGCUUCUCUAGCGGCGGCAGGAAGCAGAGGUCGCCGGAGUUGGAGACGACGGUGAUGUGGGGCUACACCAGGGGCUCCAACAGGGUCGGACAGCACCAGUGAAGCACCACGGAGGCUCUGAAAGAGUGGCUUGAGCUCGGGAGGGGCUGGAACGGUGGGGGCGAACCGCGGGGAUCGCCGGCGAGCUCAAGCUCGAGGACGGCAGCCCGAGGCCUGCCCGGCCGGGCUGCGGCUUUCUACUGGAGUGUGUGGGAUGAGUUGGUGAUGCUUGAGAGGGUUGGGGUGGCCGUAUUUAUAGGUGAGCGAGGUGAGGGGAUCGGGCUCUGCUGAAGGGCUUCUGGACACGGCGCCCGGCAAUGAGCGGCGUCAGUGAGAGAUGGAGAAGGCGACGCAGCUCACGCGGGCACUGUGGGAGGGCGGAGACGAACACAAGAGCGGGGGUGGCGACGAGCGAAGUGGCGCGACGCACUGUUGGGUUUGCUGGGUCAUGCCCGUGCUCGCUGCGGCGAGCUCCGGCGUUGGCAAGCGCCAGCGAGGAGUUAAGUGGGUCAAGACGGCGAUGGUGGCGCAGUUUGGCAAGGUGCGGCAGUCGGGGAAGCGAGCACGCGCUGAACAGAGCAUGCGACGGCAUCCAGAGCGCGUCGACUAGCACAUUGGCAUCAUGCACAGGCGUGGUCACCGCGCGAACUCUGUCAUAGAGUCACCGCUUGCCAAAAAUUCAUGUCUGGCGUGUAGUCCUUAGUGGUUUGGGUCGUUCCAAUGCUUUGAGUCGAGCCUAGGGGCUGUAGGUGCGUGGUUUACUUCCUGGUAAGUUUCUGGUCAGUAACUUGUGGAGUUAACUGUGGGUGAUCUAGUAAAAUUUGAGGGUUGAGCUUUGGGGUUUAGCAAUCACUUAGUAAGGUAGUGAUGCUCAAGAAAAAUCAGCCUCAUAGGAUCAAGGAAAAUGGUACUUGCUGUAGAAACUGCCUUUUCUGACCAGAACAGAAAAGAUUUUCUAUAGCAAAAAAAUUCCAAAAAGUGAUGCAAUAUUUUCGCUCAGGGAGGUGCCCUAGGGUUCCAAGAAUAAUUGGGAAUUUUCUCAGAUUUUUGUGGGCAAAGAAAACGGGGGUUGCUUUGGAGCAUAUGUUGCUGAUUAGGGUUUUUGAAGAGAAAAUGAAUAUUUUUCAUUUAAGAAAGAAAAAUAUUCCUAUGAUUAUUUUGGGAUUAAUCAGAGAAGAAAUGAUGGCUUGGGGGAGAGGUGAUCCACUUGGGUGAAAAUCAAGGGUAUGCCCAAGGCUUUAAGUCCAACUAAAAUGAUUCAAAAACCCAAAUUCAAAUAAAAGGCAAUCAAAAAUCAGAAAAAGAAGAGGGGCAAAAACCAGGCUGUCACAAACCUCCCCCACUUAGGAUGAAUCUCGUCCUCGAGAUUCGGUUGCUCGGGAAAACAAUUCUGGAUAGGUUGCCUUUAGAAAUUCCUCUCGUUCCCAAGUUGCCUCUUCCUCGGUGUGAUGUUGCCUCUUCCUCGAUGUGAUGUUCCCACUGAACCUUAUAAAACUUUAUCGCUUUACUACGAGUGACCCUUUCCAUCUCAUCCAAGAUUCUGAACAAUUUCUCCUCAUAUGUUAAAUCCUUAGCCAGCUCUAAUUCUGACAUAUCCAUCUUUUUCUCUGGAGGCGAUAUACAUCGUCUUAGCUGUGAGACAUGGAACACAUUGUGCACUUCUGACAAUUCCGGGGGCAAUUCUAACUGAUAUGCAACAGUACCCACUCUGGACAUAACUAGGAACGGACCAAUAUACCUGGGUGCCAAUUUUCCGCGAGUCUGAAAUCUUUUGACUCCUUUCAUAGGGGUGACUCGGAGGUAUACAUGCUCUCCGGGUUCAAAACUGAUCUGGCGGUGCUUUGCAUCGUAAUAACUCUUUUGUCGGGAUUUAGCCAAUUGCAAUCUAUCUCGGAUUUCCUUGACUUGCCUUUCAGCUUCCAUCAUGAGAUCAAUUCCGAAAAUACGGCUAUCUCCGGUUUGAGACCAAUUUAGCAGAGUGCGGCACUUGCGGCCAUACAAAGCUUCAUAAGGUGACAUCUUUAGACUGGUCUGGAAGUUGUUGUUGUAGGAGAACUCGGCAUACGGUAGACAAUCUUCCUGUUUGGGUCCUUGGGCCAAAGCACAUGAAGCAUAUCUUCGAGUAUUUGGUUUACACGUUCAGUCUGCCUGUCUGUCUGAGGAUGAUAAGUUGUGCUGUACUUUAGUGCGGCCCCCAAAGCUUAAUGGAGAUGUGACAAGAAAGCUGAGGUAAAAAGUGACCCUCUGUCAGAAGUGAUCGUUCUUGGUACUGCAUGCAGACUGACUAUUCUGGACACAUACAACUGUCCGAGCUGAUCGGCUCGGUAAGUGGUUCUGAUGGGAAUAAAAUGAGCUACCUUGGUCAGUGUGUCCACCACGACCCAUACUGCAUCAUUGCCUCGAUGAGUCCUUGGUAGCCCUGCGAUAAAAUCCAUACAUACAUCAUCCCACUUCCAUUGUGGAACGGGCAAGGGUUGGAGGAGUCCAACAGGUUUUUGGUGUUCUGCCUUCACUUUGUUGCAUAUGUCGCAACAAGCCACAAAAUAGGCAAUGUCUUUCUUCAUCCCAUCCCACCAAAAUAUCUGCCGAAGGUCUUCGUACAUUUUGGUACCUCCGAGGUGAAUGGAAUACGAAGAUCCGUGUGCUUCUGCCAAUACCUUCUUUCUUAAGUCUGCUUGAUUCGGUACACAAAUCCUUCCGCGGAACCUUAGUGUACCUUGUUGAUCCUUAGAGAAAUCUUGUGUCUGGCCUUCUAACAUACGCUUGAUAUGUUUUUGUAGCACUAGGUCAUCUGAAUGGGCCUUGCAGAUCUCAUCCUCGAGGGUAGGAGUAACUUCCAUCAUAUUAGCAAGACCAGUAUCAAUAAUGACCAGAUUGAGCUGAGUGAUCUCUUCCUGAAGUUCAGGAGGCAAGGACUCCAUCAUGGUAUUCAGACUGGCAGGCUUGCGGCUGAGUGCAUCGGCGACCACGUUGGCCUUACCCGGAUGAUAAUUAAUUACAAGAUCAUAAUCCUUGACUAAUUCAAGCCAUCUUCGUUGGCGGAGGUUUAAGUAUGGCUGAGUAAAUAUAUACUUGAGACUUUUGUGGUCGGUAAAUAUUUGACACCUUUUUCCAAUGAGGUAGUGUCUCCAAAUUUUUAGAGCAUGAACAACCGCGACCAACUCCAAAUCAUGAGUAGGAUAGUUCCCUUCGUGGGGUCGUAGCUGACGAGAUGCGUAUGCUACAACCUUGCCAUCUUGCAUGAGUACGCAGCCAAGACCUUGCCUGGAAGCGUCACAGUACACAUCAAAGCUGCGGUAAAUGUCCGGAAGAGUCAACACAGGUGUUGUUGUCAGUCUGGUUUUCAGCUCAUUGAAACUUUUCUCACAGUCCUCAGUCCAUUCAAACUUCUUAUCUUUCUUGAGAAGCUCUGUCAUUGGUUUGGCAUCUUAGAGAAUCCUUCAAUGAAACGACGGUAGUACCCGGCUAAUCCAAGGAAACUCCGGAUUUGGGAUACUGUCGUGGGUGCCCUCCAAUCAAGCACGUCCUUCACCUUACUUGGAUCCACGGCUAUACCUUCUGCGGACAGAACAUGCCCUAGGAAUCCAACUUGCUUGAGCCAAAAACUCGCAUUUACUGAAUUUGGCGUAUAGUUGAUGGUCACGGAGUCUUUGUAAGACAGCUCUGAGGUGUCCCUUGUGCUCUUCUUCACCUUUUCAGUAUAUUAGGAUAUCAUCGAUGAAGACCACCACAAAUUUAUCCAAGAAAUCCAUGAAUACUUUGUUCAUCAUAUGCAUGAAGAAAGCAGGGGCAUUGGUGAGAUCGAAGGACAUAACAGUAUAUUCAUAAAGACCGUAUCGGGUAGUGAAUGCGGUCUUAGGAAUAUCUUCCUUUUUGAUCUUGAGUUGGUGGUAUCCAGUCCUUAAAUCAAUUUUGGAGAAUACUUUUGCCCCACUGAGUUGAUCAAAUAAAUCAUCGAUCCUGGGUAGUGGAUAUUUGUUUUUAAUGGUGACAUCAUUCAGCUGACGGUAAUCCACACACAUACGGAGACUAUCAUCUUUCUUGUCCACAAAUAUUGUGGGUGAUCCCCUUGGUGAAGAGCUUGGACGGAUAUAACCUUUCUGGAGCAUCUCAUCAAGCUGUUUCUUUAACUCCACUAAUUCUGACGAAGGCAUCCGAUAAUACUUCUUGUAUAAUGGUGCGGUCCCGGGCACAAGAUCAAUUGCAAACUCAAGUUCUCGGUCUGGCGGCAUUCUUGGAAAUUCUUCUGGGAAUACAUCGGGAAAUUCACUGACCACAGGAAUUAAUCCCAAUUCUUCAGCCACAGCGGUGAAGACUAUUUCUUUCUUGGGUAUGCUUCGGCGGGCAUAGAAUUUUGUAGUCUGCCCUUCCUGACUUGUCAAGGUGACUUCUCUGGUCGCACAGUUAAUGCAUACUUGGUAUUGGGUUAACCAAUUCAUUCCCAAAAUAAUGUCCAACUUGGCAGACUCGAUGACUAUCAAGGAAGUUGGAAAACGGACUCCUUGGAUACCAAUUUCCAGGUUACGGCAGACCAGGUUGCUUCUGAGCAAAGAUCCCGGGGACUAAACCAGCAUAUUCUUUCUCAAAAUCGAACAAGGAAAUUUGUUUUGGGCAGCAAAACUCCGCGAAAUAAAAGAGUGGGAAGCCCCAGAGUCAAAUAAAAUUAUUGCAGGUAUGUUAUUAACAGGGAACAUACCAAUGACGACUUUGGGGUGCUCUUGGGCUUCGUCUGUGGAGAGGUGAUGAACUUGCCCUUUUAUGGUUUGCUGGGACAGGGUACGGCUCCAUAUGGUUGAGUUGUGGCCUGAAUGGAGCAUUUGUCUUGCCGUUCUUGGGACACUGUCUUGCAUAAUGUCCGGUUUGUCCACAACUGAAACAGGAAUUGUUGUGCUGACAUUCUUCUCGCACCGGGCUGGUUACGACAUUCUUGACUUGGGUAGUGGUCUUGACAUUCUUCUCGCUGCUGGCUGCUGCCGAUCAUACUGCGGAGGUCUCCGGCCUGAAGCAGAGCCUGGAGCGGGCCGAACAAGAGCUCGGCCUCAUGAAGAAGCAGCUGGAGGACAGCCAAGGUAUGCAGUAACCUGCGCGUAUAUAUAGGAAGGAUGAAUGUUCGUGCUGACUAAAGUGUCAUGAACUUUAUUAGGGGCCACGACCGAUGUGGCGGCCCUCAAGAAGGCGUUAGCCGAGGCCGAGGACAAAGCGGCCAAGGAGCGCGUCGCGCGCGAGAAGCAGGAGGCCCGGGUCAGCGAGGUCCAUCAAGAGCUCCAAGAUGCCGUCAAGAAGUACGAGUCCUUGGAGCAUGAUUCUAAGACGCAAGCGUCCAAACUUGCGAAGGCCCGCCAGAGCGCACAAGAGGCUCGAGCCGAGGCCUAGAGCGCCCUUCAGGAAAUCCAGGCGGCCAAGAAGGUCGCGGCGGGUAAGGCUUUCAUUAUGCAAAGCAAGUCUGUGAAGGAAACGUUCCUUUUACUUACCCGGAUUUGGAGCUCUCCAGGGGCAUUUCCGGAUUUGCCGCGGAGCGUAUCAGAUGCUGCCGAGUUCUAUCGAGCCGAAGAAGGGAGUUCUAUGGAGAAGCUGUUCUGGUCUCAAUAUCUUGGACCAGAACAUCCGGUGCCCUUCAGCGACCAGCUGAAACAGCUGGUCGAGCUGCACAGGGCGGUCGAGCUAGCCAUGAAGGACCUGAUAGUCCGACUAUGGCCUGCCGAUCCGAUACCCAGUAGCUACUUCGGCCUUGUGAAACAGCUUGUUAGUGCUUGCCCACGGCUUGAAGUCAUAAAGCGGUCGGUCUGUAUUGAAGGUGCACGGAUGGCCUUUGCCCGCGUCAAGAUGCAUUGGGCGAAGAUGGAUGCCAAGAAGCUGAUGACCGAGGGGCCGCCUGAGGGCAAGGAGCACCGCCGUCCCGAGCUAUAUUUUGAUGGUGUCCUGGAGGGAUCCCGCCUUGUGGUGGAGCAAUGUGCGAAGGAUGUUAUAUUCCCAUGAAAACAUUCAUAUUAUCCUGUCAUGUAACAUGAAACAAUGAUGUUAUGUAAUAUAAUGCUUGUGACUUUAAAAUUUUACAUCAUGUGCGGCCGUUUCUGAGGGUUGGCCAGUCGUCGGCUUUUGCCCCCACGUAGAUAGUAUGGGGUGUUCGGGAUAAAUCUAAACAUUCUUUACUCCACAUUCUGGUCCUUAAAGGAGGUGUUUAGCGCAACGAAUGAGGCAAUCAGACUAUGCGGCCUUUAUCGCCCUCACUUAGCCAUAGGAGUUUGACAAUGAGAAUUUUGGCGAGGCCCCUGGUAUUCGGAAGGCCGAACUUGGGGCGUUAUACGCGCCUGAUCGGAUAAAAACUGAUUCCUCGCAUAAAGCGGAAAAAAUCUCUAAGGAUUUGAAACCUCUCGAAUAGCUGACCAGCUCUCGCUGCAUCAUGACAGUCAGUUUUCGGCUUUCUCUACUGAGGUGCUCGUCCGGAAGAACCGGGACACAAUCGCAGUAGUUCUCCCUUUACUACCCUAGCCGAUAUAGCGGAACGUAAGGUAGUAAGCACAGGAGCCGGGCAACCCAACUAUUGACCAAAGACAUGAUUCGGAGCCGAUGCAUAUAAUGCUAUAAGUUCGGGGUGCCAAACAGUACUGAAAAAGGUGUUCGGACUUUAUUGCCGUACUGCGGGGCGCGAAAGCCCCUGGUGAAAUAAAACGUACUAGAGUGUACGGGUGCGAUGAGUAAUAAAUACAAAGGUAAGGAAAAAACAAAAAUCAAGUAAUAAGCUGAUGCUACCAUUUAUUUUCCAUUGUAAUUUGAUUAAUACGUCGAGGCGUACUUGUACAAGUAAUGCAAUAAGCAAGUAAGGCUAUUUAACAUGCCAUGACCAAGAGCGAGCUGCGUGCGGGUAUGUAAAACAGGUAUAGCAAACGUUAGUAGAGACCACCUGGGUAUUCCCUUGUACGUCAAAGCUCCUUGCCUCCUUGGUGUGUCCGUGCCGUGAUCGGUCCGAUGAUCGGGUUAUCAGAAAAAGCCUCGAGAAGAGAAAAACCCGAAAGGAAAAGUGAAUGUGUGUGAAUCCAGGGUCGGUCGAGCCGCACUGUGGAUCAUGAGCUAGCUAUGCCUCCGUCUAUGCCCAUGGGAUUUUGAGUGCGUAGUUAUGUAUGCGCGGUACGAAUGCCACUGUUUGAUCGGGACUGGGACGGAGGCCAAAUUGCUAGUUAAGCUCUUGACGAGCCAGGCUGUCUUGCUGCAGAAUAGUCCGGACUCUUUUAAUGGUGUCCGGGGGCUUGGCCGCCGAACUAAGGUUCUGCUGGAAAACGCCGCGCUGUAUUUCUGCUGCUAAGGCUGUGGUAUGCUCCUCGGUACGGAGGGAGCGUUCCGUAUUUCCAUUGAUUGUUAUGACGCCACGUGGUCCGGGCAUCUUGAGUUUGAGAUAAGCAUAGUGAGGUACCACAUUGAAUCGAGCAAAUGCGGUUCGUCCGAGCAGUGUGUGAUAGCCGCUGCAAAAGGGGACGAUAUCGAAGAUUAACUCCUCGCUUCGGAAGUUGUCCGGAGAUCCGAAGACGACCUCUAGUGUGAUUGAGCCCGUACAGCGGGCCUCUACGCCUGGUAUGACUCCUUUAAAGGUAGUCUUUGUUGGUUUAAUCCGUGAUGGGUUAAUGGCCAUUUUGCGUACUGUGUCCUGACAGAGCAGAUUGAGGCUGCUGCCACCGUCCAUGAGGGCUCGCGUCAGGUGGAAUCCAUCAACGAUUGGGUCUAGGACUAAUGCGGCUGAUCCGCCAGGCCGGAUACUCGUCGGAUGAUCCCGACGAUCGAAAGUGAUUGGGCACGAUGACCAUGGAUUGAAUUUUGGGGCGACUGGCUCUAUCGCAUAGACGUCCCUGAGUGCGCACUUGUGCUCCCUCUUGGGGAUGUGUGUAGCAUAUAUCAUGUUCACCGUUUUGACCUGGGGGGGACUUCUUUCUGUCCCCCUGCAGUUGGCUACAGGGGCUCCUCAUCAUCGUCCUCGCUCUGCGAUCUCUUUUCCUUGUUCUCGGCGUUUAACUUGCCGACUUGCUUAAAAACCCAACAAUCUCUGUUGGUGUGGUUGGCUGGUUUGUGUGGGGUGCCAUGGAUUUGGCACGGACGGUCAAGUAUGCAGUCCAUGCUAGAUGGUCCCUGAUUGUUUCUUUGAUACGGCUUUUUCCGCUGGCCGGACUUGGAGCCGCUGAAUCCGACAUUUAUAGCAGUGUCAUCGGUGUUAUCGCCAUUGCUUCGGCGUUUGUGUCUGCUGCGUCGGAGCUUGCUGUUGCUGUUUUUGGCCUCGGAGGGGCCUGCCUCGCUGGCCGUAUUUUUACUACAAGCCAGCCAGUUGUCCUCACCCGCACAAAAGCGGGUCAUGAGUGCCGUGAGGGCUGCCAUAGAUUUCGGCUUUUCUUGGCCGAGGUGGCGGGCGAGCCAUUCGUCGCGGAUGCUAUGUUUAAAGGCCGCUAGGGCUUCGGCAUCCGGACAGUCGACGAUCUGGUUCUUUUUGGUUAGGAACCUAGUCCAAAAUUUCCUGGCCGACUCUCCAGGUUGUUGGACUAUGUGGCUUAAGUCAUCGGCGUCUGGUGGCCGGACAUAUGUACCUUGGAAGUUGUCGAGGAAGGCUUCUUCCAAAUCCUCCCAGCUGCCGAUAGAGUUUUCAGGCAGGCUGUUUAACCAGUGCCGAGCUGGCCCUUUGAGUUUUAGUGGGAGGUAUUUGAUGGCGUGAAGAUCAUCCCCGCGGGCCAUGUGUAUGUGGAGAAUGAAAUCCUCAAUCCAUACCGCGGGAUCGGUUGUUCCGUCGUAUGAUUCAAUGUUAAAGGGUUUGAACCCUUCGGGGAAUUGGUGAUCCAUUACUUCAUCAGUGAAGCAAAGAGGGUGUGCGGCGCCUCUAUAUCGGGCCGCGUCGCGACGUAGCUCCGAUGGAGUCCGUCUGUAGUUGUCGGCUCGAGCGUGACUAGGUUUGUCACGUCCGAAUAGGUAGCCAUCAUCAUGUGUCGAGGAACGUCCUUGCGAUCCAUAGAUCGAUCGGAUAUAUCCUGCUCUACUAUCCAGGGUUUGCCGAAGGUCGUAUGUAUGACCCCGAACUGUUUUGUCUCUAUUUUUUCAUGGCUGCGCGGCUGGCUACUGUUCGGCUUGAGUUGCCGCUCUAUCCCGACCACGAGAUGGUCGGUCUGCCGCACUGUCCCGGCCGCGUAGUGUUCGGUCGGCCGCAUUACGCGAGGGAAAUAUGGGCUCCGGUGCCUCUUCAUCGAACUGAGGUAGCAACCUUCGCUUCGGGUAACUCUUGGCUGGGCGUCUGAGGCCGUGUUCUUCGGCUGCCAAGACAUCAGUCCAUCUAUCGACGAGCAGAUCUUGGUCAACUUGAAGCUGUUGCUGCUUCUUAUUCAGGCUCCUUGCGGUGGCUAUUAGCUGGCGCUUGAAGCGCUCUUGCUCGAGAGGUUCCUCAGGCACGAUGAAAUGUUCGUUGCCGAGGCUUUCCUCAUCCUUAGAGAGCGGACGAUAACUACCGUCCUCCGAGUCGUUGGGCCUGGCCUGUUCGUCGGGGCUAGCUUGCCCGUUUUCUUGCUCCUCCUGUUCGGAUGUUACCUCGGCGAGGUCUUCAUUGUUUUCGGCAUCGUCCGGAGUAUUGUUUCCUCCGGUGCCAGCAUUGCUGUCUUUUGAAUGGCGUGACUUAGAGCGGCGCCGAGGACGCCGACGUUUUUGCUGUGUCUCAGGAGGUUUAUUCUCGACUGGAUUUUCUUUGUCAUCGUCAUUGGUCGUUUUGGGUGUGUCCACCAUGUACACAUCAUACGAAGAGGUGGGCGUCCAGCGUCCGGUGAAUGACAGACUUUGGUUUUGCUCCUCAUCGGCAUCAUCGUCCAUAAGGUCGAUGUCUUCGGAGUCGUAAUCAAGCGUGUCGGUUAAAUCCUCGACUGUGGCUAUGAAGUGGGUGGCGGGUGGGAAGCAAGAUUCUCCUUCAUCAGCCCCUAGUUCGAACCAAACAUAGUUCGGCUGUGAGUCCCCCGCCAAGGACAGGCUCUUUAAUGAGUUUAGCACAUCGCCCAAGGGCGAGUGCUGGAAGAUGUCUGCGGUGCUGAACUCGAAGAUCGAUAAACGAUCAAGUUCGGCAUCCGCGGUCUCAGUUCGGAACUUACGCCCGGAGACGAGUCCGGAGUUCCGGAAACACAAAUAUUGUGUGAGGUUAAGUCCAUGUGCGGCUCCAACGCCAGGGAAUCUGUGGCCUCCGCGGUGGGGUUGAGGCUCCAAUCCUUGGACGGCGCUGUAUGCUCCGGAUCUAAGGCCAGAGCUGUUACAGGAGCUAUCUCCUGAAUACGGUUUGACGACCGAUUUAAGUCAUGUUCAUCAAGGUGACUAGGAGUGGUUGCCGCGGUCUUGAAUCCGGCGAAGAUCAAAUCUCCACGGACGUCCGCGACGUAGUUCAGGCUCCCAAAUCUGACCUGAUGGCCAGGGGCAUAGCUAUCGAUCUGCUCCAGAUGGCCAAACAAGUUGGCCCGCAAUACGAAGCCGCCGAAUACGAAGGUCUGUCCGGGGAGAAAGGUUUCUCCUUGGACGGCAUCAUUGUUGACGAUUGAAGGGGAUCGGAACCUUUGGGGACGGCACAGUGGAACUCUCAAUGAAAGCACCAAUGUCGGUGUCAAAACCGGCGGAUCUCGGUAGGGGGUCCCGAACUGUACGUCUAAGGUCGAUGGUAACAGGAGACAGGGGACACAAUGUUUACCCAGGUUCGGGCCCUCUCUAUGGAGGCAAUACCCUACUUCCUGCUUGAUUGAUCUUGAUGAAUAUGAGUAUUACAAGAGUUGAUCUACCACGAGAUCAAGAUGGCUAAACCCUAAAAGCCUAGCCUGUAUGACUAUGGUAAUGAGUCUCUCCUCUCUGGACUAAGUCCUCUGGUUUAUAUAGACACCAGGAGGAUCUAGGGUUACACAAGGUCGGUUACAAAGAAGGGAAUCCACAUAUUCUGUCGCCAAGCUUGCCUUCCACGCCAAGGAGAGUCCCAUCCGGACACGGGUGCAGUCUUCGGUCUUCGUAUCUUCACAGCCCAUCAGUCCGGCCCAUGGCUAACAGUACGGACGCCCGAGGACCCCUUAGUCCAGGACUCCCUCACCCACCCCCCUAGGGCGUGCCCCUGCGCCUCAUGGACUCCCUGUGGGCCCCCCUGACUUGUUCUCGACGCCAACCUCUCCUAUAAAUACCCAAACCUCUAGAAAAUAACCUAGAUCGGAAGUUCCGCUGCCGCAAGCCUCUGUAGCCACGAGAAAUCAAUCUAGGCCCUCUCUGGCACCCUGCCGGAGGGGGCCAUCAUCACCGGAGGCCAUGGAGGAGGAUCCCGAAGGGGCCAUCAUCAUCGUGAAGGGCAAGAUCCAGAGGGAGAACCUCUCCCCAUCCAGGGAGAGGCCAUGGAGGAGGAAGCACAAGGGGGAGAACCUCUCCUCCUCUAUCUCGGUGGCGCCGGAGUGCCAUCGGGAGGGGAAUCAUCGCCACGGUGAUCGUCUUCAUCAACAUCACCAUCAUCAUCACCAUCCUCAUCUAUUUUACGUGGUCCACUCUGCCGCACCCCGUUGUAAUCCCUACUUGAACAUGGUGCUUUAUGCCACAUAUUGUGAUCCAAUGAUGUGUUGCCAUCCUAUGAUGUUUUGAGUAGAUAUCCUUUGUCUUUGGGUUGAUUGAUGAUCUAGAUUGGUAUGAGUUGUAUGUUUAAUUUUGGUGCUAUCCUAUUGUGCCCUCCGGUUCGCGCAAGCUUGAGGGAUUCCCGCUGUAGGGUGUUGCAAUACGUUCAUGAUUCGCUUAUAGUGGGUUGCUUGAGUGACAGAAGCAUAAACCCGAGUACGGGGGUUGUUGCGUAUGGGAUAAAGGGGACUUGAUAUGUUAAUGCUAUGGUUGGGUUUUACCUUAAAGAUCUUUAGUAUUUGUGGAUGCUUGCUAGAGUUCCAAUCAUAAGUGCAUAUGAUCCAAGAAGAGAAAGUAUGUUAGCUUAUGCCUCUCCCUCAUAUGAAAUUGCAAUAGUGAUUACCGGUCUUCUUAACGAUUGCCUAGGAUAAUUCCGCACACCGACCCAUCAUUAUUCCACACUCGCUAUUUAUAAUAUUUGGUAAUAUAUUCUAACUUUAUGAUAACAUCACCUACUUUUAUAUUUUACCUCUCUGAUACCAUGCAAAGUUAUCCUCUUCAUACCCACAACGUAGUUUUAUUUCUCGUUUCUAGUUGGAAGCAAACGUUCGGUGUACGUAGAGUCGUAUCAGUGGAAGAUAGGACUUGAGAGAAUAUUGAUCUUACCUUUAGCUCCUUGUGGGUUCGACACUCCAUACUUAUCACUUCCACCUUUUGGAAUUUCUACGAUGAUUCCCUGCAUUUGGGGAUUAUCAUGUACCAGACCUGAUGUGUGCCUUGAUAUAAAUUUAGCAGGGAGGUACCAAAGUAAUCUAUGAGUGGAUCACUGGAUAACGGUCAAGGACAUCCUGAAGUGCCUGAAAAGGACUAAGGAUAUGUUUCUCGUUUAUGGAGGUGACAAAGAGCUCGUCGUAAAUGGUUACGUCGAUGCAAGCUUUGACACUUAUCCGGAUGACUCUAAGUCACAAACCGGAUACGUAUUUAUAUUGAAUGGUGGAGCUGUCAGUUGGUGCAGUUCCAAGCAAAGCGUCGUGGCGGGAUCUACGUGUGAAGCGGAGUACAUAGCUGCUUCGGAACCAGCAAAUGUAGGAGUCUGGAUGAAGGAAUUCAUAUCCAAUAUAGGUGUAAUACCUAGUGCAUCGGGUCCAAUGAAAAUCUUUUGUGGCAAUACUGGAGCAAUUGCCUUAGCGAAGGAAUCCAGAUUUCACAAGAGAACCAAACACAUCAAGAGACGCUUCAAUUCCAUCCGUGAUCAAGUCAAGGAGGGAGACAUAGAGAUUUGCAAAAUACAUACGGAUCUGAAUGGAGACAUUACUUCUGUACAAAUUGUUUAAAUUAUCAUAUUUUUUAGAAUUUUUUGGAGUUACAGACGUUUACUAAACUUCCAGAUUACUACAAACUGUCCUAUUUUUGACAGAUUUUGUUUUUCUAGCUGUUGUUCGUUUAUUUUGAUGAAUCUAUGGGUAGUAUCGGGGGGUAUGAACCAUGGUGAAGUUAGAAUACAGUAGAUAUAGUUCUAAUAUGAAAUUGGAAUAAGUUUGCAACAGUACCUAAAGGUAGUGAUUUGCUUUAUUAUACUAACGGAUCUCACAAAGUUUUUGUUAAAGUUUUGUGUGGAUGAAGUGUUCGAAGAUCGAGGAGCGAUCAAUAUGAGAAGAAUAAAGAGAGGCAAGAGUUCAAGCUUGGGGAUUCCCAAGGCACCCCAAGUAAAUAUUUCAAGGAUACUCAAGCAUCUAAGCUUGGGGAUGCCCCGGUUGGCAUCCCAUCUUUAUUCUUCAACAAUUAUCGGUAUACCUCAGUUUUUGUUUUGUUCACGUCAUUUGUGUCCUUUGUGUUUUUGUUUUUCCUUUAAGAACCAUCCUAGUAUGAGAUAGCCCUUCAUUGAUUUAUAGAAUACUUCAUGUGCUUCACUUAUAUCUUUGAAGUAUGAUCUUAUAGAAUUCCUCUUUGUGCUUCACUUAAAUCUUUUGAGUAUGGUUUUAUAGAAUGCUUCGUGUGCUUCACUUUAUAUAUUUUGAGCUUGGAUAUUGGUUAGUCUAUAUUAAUUGUAGAAUUCUCCAUGAACUUCACUUAUAUCUUUUGGAGUAUGAAUAAUACUAUAAUCUAAAGUGGGGUUGGAAGAGUGUCAACUUUAGGAAUUAGUGAUCCCACUAUUUUGGAGGGUGUUGAAUCUUAGUGUGAUAUUUAUGGAAGUGGAUUUGGAAGAGUGUCAACUUUAGUUAGUAAUGAUUCCACUACUUCGGAAGAGGUUCCAAUUGAUUAUGAGAAUAAAGCUGCUAUCUAUGAUGAUUAUUGUGAUGACAUGUAUGCUAUAAAGAAUAAUGUUAACCAUGAAACUUGUCAUCAUGAUUUUAAUUUUCAAUUGGAUUAUGCCUCACAUGACCGUUAUUCUGUUGAGUUUGCUCCCACUAUUCUGAAUGAGAAGAAUUAUGCUUAUGUGGAGAGUAGAAAAUUUUCUAUGCUUGUAGAUCAUGAAAAGAAUGCUUUAUGUGAUGGUUAUAUUGUUUAAUUCAUUCAUGAUGCUACUGAAAAUUAUUAUGAGGGAGGAAUAUAUGCUUGUAGGAGUUGCAAUAAUAUAAAGUUUCCUCUCUAUGUGCUUAAAGUUUUGAAGUUAUACUUGUUUUGCCUUCCUAUGCUAGUUGAUCCUUGUUCCUAUAAAUUGUGUGCUCACAAAAUCCCUAGGCAUAGGAAGUGGUUUAGUUUUAAAUGUGCUAGUCAUAUUCUUCAUGAUGCUCUAUUUAUGUUUCAAUCCUUAUCUUUUAUGUGAGUAUCAUUGAAAUCAUCAUGCCUAGCUAAAAGGCAUUAAAGAAAAGCGCUUGUUGGGAGAUAACCCAAUAUUUACCCUUACUGUUUUUGUGUGUUCACAUGAUUAAGAUACUGUAGUAAUCAUGUAUUAUAGAUUUUUUUCAAUAAAGUGCCAAGUAAGACCUUUGGGAAGACUUGGGUGAAAGUUAAUGCGAUCUUGCUGUUAAAAACAGAAACUUUGCGCUCACGAGAUUAGCUGUCAUUUUUUACAGAAGAGUGCUUUUGAGUUGAUUAUUUUUUCAUAAGAUUAAUAGACAAAUUCCUCACGUCCACCAAUUUAUUCAUAAUUUUUGGAGUAUCAGAAGUAUGGUUGCUGUUUAGAUCAUUACAGACUGUUCUGUUUCUGAGAGAUACUUUUUUUCAUUGCAUAGUUUGCUUGUUUUCUAUUUUCUAUGGCUUAUAUUUCUCAAUAUAAAUUGUAGAAAUGAUAUGGUACAGUAGGCAUUGUGUGAUAACAAUUAUGAAUCUUGUCUUUGAUAGUACCAAAGUGAAUGGUUUACUCUUUAUCAUACUAACCCAUCUCACGAAGUUCCGUUAAGUUUUGUGUGAUUGAAGUUUUCAAGUUUUGGGUGAGAUAUCGAUAUGAGGAGAAUAAGGAGUGGAAAGACCCUAAGCUUGGGGAUGCCUAAGGCACCCCAAGGUAAUAUUCAAGCAAGACUCAAGCGCCUAAGCUUUGGUGAUGCCCCGGAAGGCAUCCCCUCUUUCGUCUUCAAAACUAUCGGUAUACCUUACUCGGAGCUAUAUUUUUAUUCGUCACAUGAUAUGUGUUUUGCUUGGAGCGUAUUUUUAAUUUUACUUGAUGUUUGAAUAAAAUCAUUGGAUCUGAAAUCUUUAAUGAAAAGAAUCCUCCCCUAGCUAGUUAUUAUUUGACUACUCAGUGUUCUUCACAUAUCUUUUUGGAGUAGUUUGUCAUUUACUCACGUGCUUCACGUAUAUCCUAUGAGUAAAUGGUUGAAUGAAUUGAAUAUCAUAAAUCUGAAUUUAUAUACGUUUCAUAUGCUUAUAACAUGGGGAGUAAUGACUUCACACAUAAUAAGUAUAGGUAGUAAACUUAUUGAAAGUUAGCAAACGCAGAAUUGGUCACUUGAACAAUUCAUGAAAGAAUAUUGAAGGAAGAGAGAUUUCACAUAUAAAUAUACUAUCUUGGACAUCUUUUGUAAUUGUGAGCACUCAUUAAAAUAUGAUAUGCUAAAAAGUUGAUGUUGGACAAGGAAGACAACUUAAUGGGUUAUGUUUUCCUAUAUCCUAAACGUUAUAUUGUCUUGGAUCAUCCAACAUGUUGAGCUUGCCUUUCCCUCUCAUGCAAGCCAAAUUCUUAGCACCAAGUAGAGAUACUACUUGUGCUUCCAAACAUUCCUUAACCCAGUUUUGCGAUGACAAUCCACCAUACCUACCUAUGGAUUGAGUAAGAUCCUUCAAGUAAGUUGUCAUCGGUGCAUGCAAUAAAAAAUUGCUCCUUAAAUAUGUAUGAUCUAUUAGUGCGAAGAAAAUAAGCUUUAUACGAACUUGUGAUAGGGAAGAAAUAAAAGCGAUGGACUGCAUAAUAAAGGUCUUUAUCACAAGCGGCAAUAUAAAGUGACGUUCUUUUGCAUUAAGAUUUUGUGCAUCCAACCAUAAAACCGCAUGACAACCUCUGCUUCCCUCUGCGAAGGGCCUAUCUUUUACUUUUACCUUCUACCCUUGUACAAGAGUCAUGAUGAUCAUCACCUUACCCUUUUACACUUUUUCCUUUGGCAAGCACUUUGUGUUGGAGCGAUCCGGAUAUAUAUAUCCACUUGGAUGUGGGUUUUCAUAAAUUAUUAUUGUUGACAAUACCCUUGAGGUAAAAGGUUGGGAGGCGAAACUAUAAGCCCCUAUCUUUCUCUGUGUCUGAUUAAAACUUUGAAUGCAUAAAUAUCACAUGAGUGUUAGCAAUUGUGAAAGAUUAAAUGAUAGUUGAGUAUGUGGAGUUUGCUUAAUCAAAGCUCUUACAUAGACCCUUCCCGAAAAUAAGAUGAAUUGCAAUUGUUUGAUGACUAAGAGCACGGUUUGUUAGUUUUCAAGAAAGUUUAUGAUCUAUACUUUAACAUGUGAAUAGCUUGUUACUUGAUCAUGAGAAGUUUUAUGAGUUGAGCUACUGUUAUGAUAUAUAAUGAUGCUAGAAAAAGUGAUUGAAACUAUCAUUGAUCAAACUUAAGCACUUGCUAGCAUUCACACUUCAUAAAUUAUUUAUUUUAUCAUUUACCUACUCGAGGACGAGCAUGAAUUAAGCUUGGGGAUGCCGAUACAUCUCCAACGUAUCUAUAAUUUAUGAAGUAUUCAUGCCAUGUUUACUAUUGUUUUAUAUGAUUUUGGUAUGAUUCGAUUAGAACUAACCCAGAUUGACGCUAUUUUCAGCAGAACUACCAUGGUGUUGUUUUUGUGCAGAAAUAAAAGUUCUCGAAAUGCGCUGAAAAUCAAUGGAGAAUUUUUCUGGAAAAUAUAGAAAAUAAUGGAACAAAGAGUUACUAGAGGGGAGUCCCGUGGGCCCCAUGAGGGUGGAGGGCGCGCCCCUGUGCCUCGUGGACUCCCUGUGGGGCCCCCAGACUUGUUCUCGACGCCAACCUCUCCUAUAAAUACCCAAACCUCCAGAAAAUAACCUAGAUCGGAAGUUCCGCGUCCGCAAGCCUCUUAGCCAUGACAAAACAAUCUAGGCCCUCUCUGGCACCCUGCCGGAGGGGGCCAUCAUCACCGGAGGCCAUGGAGGAGGAUCCCGGAGGGGGCCAUCAUCACCGGAGGCCGUGGAGGAGGAUCCCGGAGGGGCCAUCAUCGCCAUGAAGGCCAAGAUCCAGAGGGAGAACCUCUCCCCAUCCAUGGGGGGAGGCCAUGGAGGAGGAAGCACAAGGGGGAGAACCUCUCCUCCUCUCUCUCGGUGGCGCCGGAAUGCCAUCGGGAGGGGAAUCAUCGUCACGGUGAUCGUCUUCAUCAACAUCACCAUCAUCAUCACCAUACUCAUCUAUUUUACGCGUUCCACUCUCCCGCACCCCGCUGUAAUCCCUACUUGAACAUGGUGCUUUAUGCCACAUAUUGUGAUCCAAUGAUGUGUUGCCAUCCUAUGAUGUUUUGAGUAGAUAUCCUUUGUCUUUGGGUUGAUUGAUGAUCUAGAUUGGUAUGAGUUGUAUGUUUUAUUUUGGCGCUGUCCUAUUGUGCCCUCCGUGUCGCGCAAGUGUUAGGGAUUCCCGCUGUAGGGUGUUGCAAUACGUUCAUGAUUCGCUUAUAGUGGGUUGCUUGAGUGACAGAAGGAAAAAAUCGAGUAAGGGGGUUGUUGCAUAUGGGAUAAAGGGGACUUGAUAUGUUAAUGCUAUGGUUGGGUUUUACCUUAAUGAUCUUUCGUAGUUGCGGAUGCUUGCUAGAGUUCCAAUCAUAAGUGCAUAUGAUCCAAGAAGAGAAAGUAUGUUAGCUUAUGCCUCUCCCUCAUAUGAAAUUGCAAUAGUGAUUACCGGUCUUGUUAACGAUUGCCUAGGAUAAUUCCGCACACCGACCCAUCAUUAUUCCACACUCGCUAUUUAUAAUAUUUAGUAAUAUAUUCUAACUUUAUGAUAACAACACCUACUUUUAUAUUUUACCUCUCCGAUACCAUGCAAAGUUAUCCUCUUCAUACCCACAACAUAGUUUUAUUUCUUGUUUCUAGUUGGAAGCAAACGUUCGGUGUACGUAGAGUCAUAUCAGUGACUGAUAGGACUUGAGAGAAUAUUGAUCUUACCUUUAGCUCCUUGUGGGUUCGACACUCCAUACUUAUCACUUCCACCUUUGGGAAUUGCUACGAUGAUUUCCUGCACUUGGGGAUUAUCAUGUACGAGACCUGAUGUGUGCCUUGCUAUAAGUUUAGCAGGGAGCUACCAAAGUAAUCCAGGAGUGGAUCACUGAACAGCGGUCAAGAACAUCCUGAAGUGCCUGAAAAGGACUAAGGAUAUGUUUCUCGUUUAUGGAGGUGACAAAGAGCUCGUCGUAAAUGGUUACGUCGAUGCAAGCUUUGACACUGAUCCGGAUGACUAUAAGUCACAAACCGGAUACGUAUUUAUAUUGAAUGGUGGAGCUGUCAGUUGGUGCAGUUCCAAGCAAAGCAUCGUGGCGGGAUCUACGUGUGAAGCGGAGUACAUAGCUGCUUCGGAACCAGUAAAUGAAGGAGUCUGGAUGAAGGAAUUCAUAUCCGAUCUAGGUGUAAUACCUAGUGCAUCGGUGACGGUGUCAUGGACUAGGGGGUACUCACCACGUCAUCUCCCAACCAGCUGGAUCGGGCCGAGGACCCCAUGGCGGUUCAUUCAUGGGCCACUUUGGGUAGCCCAUGGCACAUAGAAGGAGGUUUCCACAAGACUUGGCACACAAGACGAGGACUCUCCAAAACCCUAGGCCUCUGGUGCAUCUAUAAACCGAGGCCAGGCUAGUCAAUAGAACAUUACAUGACAUCUCAUAUUCAUUAGAUCAGUCUCGUGGUAGACACAUGUACCCUGUAUUACACCCAUAUCAAUAUAAACAAAAGCAGGAUGUAGGGUUUUACCUCUAUCAAGAGGGCCCGAACCUGGGUAAAAUCCUGUGUCCAUGUUACCAUCGCUCCAAGACGCCUAGCUUAGGACCCCUACUACGAGAUACACCGGAUGUAGAACCGAGAUUGGUGCUUUCAUUGAGAGCCUGCUGGGUGAUCGUCACGGAUCGAUGGGAUGAUCAGGUGAUAUUUUUUCAGUAAAGAUUUUGUUUGAUGUAAUUUAUCUCUUUGGCAAAAUCGUUGUUGCGUCGUGCUACUUUGUUUACAGUAGGAUUGAGAAAAUUUUAAGCAGCGGCAGCCCUGUCCGCCGCCGGACAGUACGUCCGAUCCGAUGAUGACGAGGACGACCCAUGCACGGUCGUACUUCGCAGGGUGUCCAACUUGAAUUCAACCAUGCAGCCGACAGGGAGAUUCAAUCCUUCCUUUUCUUUACCUUCUUUAUUAAUCAAGUGUGGAGGCGGUCUCCCCUUUUGUCUUGUAUUGUAGUAUAUACCAUCCAUGCACCUUUUCUAGUACUAGAUUGAUUUGGUCCGUGCAUGGGUAGUACUAUACCAGUACUUGCUAACACCCACGUGGGAUGCUAUUCCUCAUGCAUGGUAUCGAUUUGGAUCUGACAUCUGAUUGCUAGACAUCUGAUUACUAGCUGAUUGCCAGAUGCUAUUCUUUCUAAUGAUUACAUACAAUGCAAAUUAUUUGUGCCAUCAUAUUUUCUGUUAGGUUUGUACUGUUGUAUGUAUACAGAUCGCAGUAUGGCCUAUGUUCGCGUCCGCUACUUGCUACAUCAGAUCCGGAAUCAAUCUGGCUGCGGGCAAUCCAGCCGAAGAGAUAGUGCGGAGCAGUGCACCGAUCAGAGCUUGGCUCGAUGGCAGCACACCACAGGGAGAUUUGUUUCUUUCCUUUUCUUUUUUUCAGUACCUACCUAGUCGACCGCUGGUUCCUCACUAUUUUUGCUGACAAGUACGCAAAACGGAAGUGCGUCUAAGCAUAUUGAGGACUAGUUUCGCAGCAUGUUCAGUACGGAUCAGUUCGUCCGUUUGCUUUGGUCCCCUAUGGUCGUCGCCGCCGACGAACAGGUUUUAUUUUUCUAAAUUAUUCAUUUAGCAUUAUUAUACACAUAAUAUUUCUGCUGGUUUGUAUUGCAUUAUUUUCACAGAGAUAUUCUACCGACGCUCGUACAUGACGUCGGUCUGGCCACCCUUUUCUCGUCACCUCGGUCGGCCUACCUAUGUCGACAUCAACCUCGCGCCUGAUAUAUAACCUUGACUACGCCACGCUGCCAGCUCGGCAAGCCGACGUCGUCGUCCUACCAGCGUUGACUAAGUUGUGGCGCCGCCUUGGCGCGCCCUUCUGUGUCGGCAUCUUCGCCGGGCCACUCUGUCGGGCCGACCACGGCCCUCAGGCCAUAUUUUAUAUUAUCAUUAUUCGCUUCACUUAAAUUAUUUAAGUAGAGUUAUCAUUAUCAUAUUUCUUUUGCCUUGCACUAUUUUAUGUGUACGAGUAGUCGACCCAGGUACAUCUUUCAACAAUUUACUUUGCGUAUUUUAAUUAUGCAAAGAUUUUUUUUGGACUGCACUAUUUUACAUGUGCAGGUAAUCAACUUCGACUGCGUACGCGGUCACUUCGGCAAGCCGACGCCGUCGUCCCAAUCGGCAUAAAUCGGCUCGCGUGAUCACCUUGUGGGUCGAAUUGGCAUACCGACAUGUUCCGUUGCCUUUGAGACUUCGGCAUCGCUGGGAGAGCUCUACCUCAUUGAGUGUUCGCCGCACAGGCCAUAUUUCUUUUAUUACCCACUUCGCAUAAAUUAUUUAGUAUGCAACAAUUUCUUGUUUUAAUUUAUUAUUAUUUCUAUUAUCUCUGGUUUGCACUAUUUUUUGUGCACAGGUAAAUGAUUCGGGUCGGGCAGUGUUGUCACCUCGGUGUACUGAUAUACCACGUCACCUCGGCUGGACGGGGGGCUUCGUCAACACUUCAUUAACCCACGCCGGGGACUUUGGCGUCACUCUGCCUUCCUGCAUUGGCCGUGCUAUGUCACCACUUCGGAGUGCCGAGCUCUUCGCUCCGCCACCUCGGGACCGGCUUGGGGGAUGGAACCUUGUCCCGCAUCAAGCUCGGGUCGCGUCGUUAAUGCCGGACACAUUAACCAGCUUCGCUUUCAUACUCAAAAACUUUCAUUUAUAAAUUUUGUUCGGUUCGACCAAUCAUUAUACUUUUUUGGAAAAAAGUUGUUUGUGAAAAACUUCCUUGUCAAAACUUUGUUUGUGACACACAAAUUCAAAUACCUCGUCUACUUGGGGACUUCCUUUAUGAAGCUUUUCCUCUUGCAUAUGAUUAUACUUGUACGGCUUCGUUCCUUGUUCGUGUAUUACGCCACAAUAUGCACCAUGUUGACUUAAGUGUUUCGCAAGCUGGGUUGCCUUGCUCCUGUGUUUACCCCUACGUUCCCGACUGUUCGGCUAGGGAGUAAAGGGAGCACCUCUGCGAUUGUCACGAUCGGGUCAUCCGAGCUCGGACCUCAAACUGGGUGAAGCCGAAAGCUAGCGCUCUUAUUGUUUUCAAUCAUGGUCGGCACACAACGGAACUCAUGAGUACAAAAAAUCUAUUGCACAAGUCUCAUAGUAACAAUGAGCAACCGAAGAAAGGUAUCGGUGGGGGUACUAUUUUCUUCGAAGAUGCUUCUUACACUUCAUCAGUAAUAUAGCAUAAGUUCCCUGAGCGCGCUUUUUCUGUUACAGCCUUAUGGCCUGAUUGCCUGGUUAUCGGAAACACCGUCGAUAUUCUCGACAGGUGGAGUACAUAACACUUUUCGGCCCUUGACCGAAGAGGGAGAAGUCGACGGUCGGUUAAGACGCGUUUCAAGUUCAGGUGAUGACGGAUAUGAUAUAAGUACUUCGGUACAUACAAUCAUUAGACAUAAAAUUAUUUUACCCAAAUCACUUGGGGGCUCUUAAAUUUAUGUGAGCUGUUUUAUAAUGAGUGUUCUUCUUCUUAGUUGUUGCAAAGUCCUUUUCUAUCACUCCUUUUUUCGACGCGAGUGUGUGGUCAAUAGCUGAGGAGCCUAAUUUCUCUCUCAAAGCCGCUAGAGUUCAGUUUGCUAAACUGGCCUAACGAGAAGUACUCCGCCUUCGGGGUAGGAGGUUGAAGCCGUAGGCUGACCCGCUUGAAGUCUUGAAUAGGAUGUGUCAUGUUAAAGCACAACGGAAGCACAAUUUUUUUAAGACCAAUUUUUGGAUUGGCACCAAACACUUGAUCUAGUUCGGACAUCAAGUUUUACUGAUGUUUUUUGGUUUUCCAAGCCUAUGGCACUUUUAAACUAUUUGUGUGUUUCCAGCAUAAGUUUCGCAGUGCAACGCCGGACACCUUUAGAGAUUUAGCAAAAACAUUCUCGGAUAUUGCUAUAUAUGCAUUGGUUUUGAAUUGUGUCUUCGGUCAUUAGUUGGGUUGCCCGGCUCCUGUGCUUGCCUCCUACGUUUCCGCUUUGUUCAGCUAUGUGUGCAAAGGGAGAACCACUGCGAUCGUGCUUCCAGCUCGAAUGGUUAAGCACCUCAGUGGAGAAAGCCGAAAACUGACUGUCACAAUGGGCGUAAACUGGUCAGUGAUCCGAUGACGGUGUCAAAUUAUAGAUCGAUACCAAUUACCCCAUGUUAAACGAUGGGCCUUUCAUAACAUUGGCCGAAGUGUUAAUGGCUCGACUUCGGUCGGUGCCGAACACUAAUCAGGGGCUCUUAGUUAGCUUCCCCAGUUUAAAGCUCCUAUGACUAAGUGAAAGUUAUAAAGCCCGCAUAUCUGAUUGCCUUGUUUCCGCUAACACAACCGCCUUAGGGCACCGAGACGUCAGCUAAGGGUUGUUUUGUUAUUGCGGAAACACCCUGAGUAGCAUCUACAAGGGGGUGGAAGCCGACGAUGGGCCACUUUCAACUAAUAAACGGUCGCAACGGAGUCAAAAUAAACAUAUCAUCGGCGUUCGUAUUUAAUAUACGAGGGCUGCCUUCCGUAAUCAUCGUUAUAAAGCCAUAAAUAUGCAUCAAUUUGACGUAAGAGUUUGGCCAAGCUGGGUUGCCUGGCUCCUAUGCUUACCCCUACGUUCCCGAUUGUUCGGCUAGGCGGUAAAGGGAGCACCUCUGUGAUUGUUACUACCGGGUCAUCCGAGUAAGUACCUCAGACUGGGUGAAGCCAAAAGCUAGCAAUCUUAAAGGAUCACAUUGGUCGGCAACGAGGAAGUGAAAAUUUUGGUUCAUUAAUACCAUAGAGUUCGGGAACUUUCCCCGAACUAAAUCCUCAAUAUUUUCCUCCCACAUUGAUCGGAGGUGAGGUUUCAUGAUCAUGAUAAGCAUGACGACCCAAAGAAAGGAACCGGUAGCGGGACUAUUUUCUUUGAAAGAUGUUUCUUAUGUUAAAACGUAAUAUAACAUAUCUCUCCAUGUACCUUUGUUUAUAAAACCGUAUGGCCGGAUUGCCUUGUUUUCCAUAAAUCUUUGCCCUUAUAACGGCUUUAUAAAGUAGGAAAACACUCCUCAGCUACUGGACGAAGAGGUUGAAGCCGAUGGUCGGUCAACAAAGUUUUGUACAAUGCGGAUCCGAGCAUUAAUGAUGUAAAGUACUUGGAUACGUAGAGUCAUUACACACAAUUUGUGAUUUUACUCCAGAUAUCGAUCCUUAAUCCGGCCUCCCGUGCCCGCAUUAAGGCUCGGGGGCUACUGGGCUUCGGGCUUAUCAUUUACUAAUAUUAAAGGGGCACAUCGAUCCCCUGAUCUGGUGUUGCCACCCGACCAGUUUCUCGGGGGCUACUACAUUACCUAUUCAAUGCAGAAAAUUCAAAGUGCUCCGUGUUCGGCUUGACCGAACUAUGGGCAAAGCGCGUCUUCGGACAACAAUGAGUACCAUCUGGGACUUAUCCGGCAUCAAGCUAAUAUAUCACGGCGACUUCUCACGACCCUCUCUUAGGGGCCCGUCCGUCGACCACUAUUGCCUCUAAUAUAUUACACUGCGUUUCUACUCCUACAUAUGCUGCCGAGCUAGGAGUUGAUCCUCAGGCCGAUUUCACGAAUCGACCUGAGUCUCAGGGGCUACUAGGAUCAGCGGUUUCAUGUUUUCCUUCAGGUGCAUCUCGGGUUUUAGACCGACACACAGCUUGAGGGCUACUGGUUAUACAUAUUGACAGCAAAUAAAUUUACACGCAUCAGAAAUAAAUCCGCAAACAAUCAUCCCAUUACCGAGGUGCUGACCACCUCGAAAGCAUCUCAGGAUAUAGCUCGGAUGCAAGUGGCUGGCUCCAUAGAGGGCAUUUCCGGCAUUAAGCUCGGCUAAACUCCUUCAACUUUUUUGAACCAAGGUGACCUAUGACACCUCGGAUAUAGUCCGGCGUUGGAGCUCGGAUAUAGUCCAGCGUUGGAGCUCGGAUAUAGUCCGGCAUUGGAGCUCGGACAUAGUCCGGCGUUGGAGCUCGGAUACAGUCCGGUGUUGGAGCUCGGAAGCGGUCCGGUGUUGGUGCUCGGCUGCAAAAGAUAUCUCGAAUGCAGUCCGGCGUUGGAGCUCGGAUGCAAGAGGACACCGCCCCACGGGAACAACUUCAAACCCGAGGUGUGGCGUGAAAAAUAACAAGGCAUUGAUAAAGGUCGAUAACUUAAAGGGGCUCUCGGAUACCCAACGUAUAAACUCUUCGGAUCCACUUCAGAAAUCCUCAAGAUCGAAGAUGAGAAGAUUUGUUGAACCAGUUUUCAAGACCGGUGUCCAAAAAUGAAGAACAGUUUGGACGAACCGAGGAGCGUCCCCAGCUUGAAGACUGGUUCAGGGGGCUACUAACGGUGUCAUGGACUAGGGGGUACUCACCACGUCAUCUCCCGACCAGCUGGAUCGGGCCGAGGACCCCGUGGCGGUUCAUUCAUGGGCCACUUUGGGUAGCCCAUGCCGCAUACAAGGAGGUUUCCACAAGACUUGGCACGCAAGACGAGGACUCUCCAAAACCCUAGGCCUCUGGUGCAUAUAUAAACCGAGGCCAGGCUAGUCAAUAGAACAUUACAUGACAUCUCAUAUUCAUUAGAUCAGUCUCGUGGUAGACACAUGUACCCUGUACUACACCCAUAUCAAUAUAAUCAAAAGUAGGAUGUAGGGUUUUACCUCUAUCAAGAGGGCCCGAACCUGGGUAAUAUCCUGUGUCCAUGUUACCAUCGCUCCAAGACGCCUAGCUUAGGACCCCUACUACAAGAUACGCCGGAUAUAGAACCGACAAUCGGGUCCAAUGAAAAUAUUUUGUGACAAUACUGGAGCAAUUGCUUUAGCGAAGGAAUCCAGAUUUCAUAAGAGAACCAAACACAUCAAGAGACGCUUCAAUUCCAUCCGUGAUCAAGUCAAGGAGGGAGACAUAGAGAUUUGCAAAAUACAUACGGAUAUGAAUGUGGCAGACCCGUUGAUUAAGCCUCUUCCACGAGCAAAACAUGAUCAGCACCAAGACUCCAUGGGUGUUAGAAUCAUUACAAUGUAAUCUAGAUUAUUGACUCUAGUGCAAGUGGGAGACUAAAGGAAAUAUGCCCUAGAGGCAAUUAUAAAGUUGUUAUAUAUUUCCUUAUAUCAUGAUAAAUGUUUAUUAUUCAUGCUAGAAUUGUAUUAACCAGAAAAUUGAUACAUGUGUGAAUACAUAGGCAAAACACAGUGUCCCUAUUAUGCCUCUACUAGACUAGCUCGUUAAUCAAAGAUGGUUAAGUUUCCUAACCACAGACAUGUGUUGUCAUUUGAUGAACGUGAUCACAUCAUUAGGAGAAUGAUGUGAUGGACAAGACCCAUCCGUUAGCUUAGGAUAAUGAUCGUUAAGUUUUAUUGCUAUUGCUUUCUUCAUGACUUAUACAUAUUCCUUUGACUAUGAGAUUAUGCAACUCCCGAAUACCGGAGGAAUACCUUGUGUGCUAUUGAUACGUCUCCAACGUAUCUAUAAUUUUUUAUUGUUCCAUGUUGUUUUAUUAUCAAUCUUGGAUGUUUUAUAAUCAUUUUAUAGUCAUUUUAUAUCAUUUUUUGGUACUAACCUAUUGACAUAGUGCCAAGUACCAGUUGCUAUUUUUCCAUGUUUUUUUCAUCGCAGGAAAUCAAUAUCAAACGAAGUCCAAAUGCCACGAAACUCCACGAUGAUUUUUUAUGGGCCAGAAGGAAGGCAAUGGGCCCUGGUUGCACCUGGGGGUUCCCCGAGGGGGCACAACCCACCAGGGCGCGCCAGAAGGCCCAGGCACGCCCUGGUGGGUUGUGCCCACCUCGGGUGCCCCCCGGACCGCCUCUUUGCUCUAUAAAUACCCAAAUAUUCCAGAAACCCUAGGGGAGUCGAUGAAAUAUUCAUCCAGCCGCCGCAGAGUCCAGAACCACCAGAUCCAAUCUAGACACCAUCUAGGAUGGGGUUCACCACCUCCAUUGGUGCCUCUCUGAUGAUGCGUGAGUAGUUCUUUGUAGACCUUUGGGUCUGUAGUUAGUAGCUAGAUGGCUUUCUCUCUCUCUCUCUCUCUCGCUGAUUCUCAAUACAAUGGUCUCUUGGAGAUCCAUAUGAUGUAACUCUUUUGCGGUGUGUUUGUUGGGACCUGAUGAACUUUGAGUUUAUGAUCAGUCAUAUCUUUUUAUAUCCAUGAAAGUUAUUUGAGUUUCUUUGAUCUCUUAUAUGCAUGAUCUCUUAUAGCCUCAUAUUUAUUCUCUGAUAUUUGGGUUUUGUUUGGCCAACUUGAUCUAUUUAUCUUGCAAUGGGAAGAGGUGCUCGGUAGUGGGUUCGAUCUUACGGUGCUUGAUCCCAGUGACAGAAGGGGAACCGACACGUAUGUAUCGUUGCUACUAAGGAUAAAAAGACGAGAUCUAUAUCUACCGCCAUAUAGAUAAACGGAUCUUGUCUACAUCAUGUCAUCGUUCUUAUUGCAUUACUCCGUUUUUCAUGAACUUAAUACACUAGUGCAUGCUGGAUAGCGGUCGAUGUGUGGAGUAAUAGUAGUAGAUGCAGGCAAGAGUCGGUCUACUAAUCUUGGACGUGAUGCCUAUGUAAUGAUCAUUGCCUGGAUAUCGUCAUAAUUAUUUGAAGUUCUAUCGAUUGCCCAACAGUAAUUUGUUUACCCACCGUUUGCUAUUUUUCUCGAGAGAAGCCACUAGUGAAACCUACGGCCCCCGGGUCUUCUUCUUCAUAUAUUUGCCUUACGAUGUACUUUUCCUUUGCAUUUUUAUUCAGAUCUAUUAAACCUAAAAAUAAAAAAAA
rnacentral:lncRNA from 1 species